UUUUUUUUUCUUUCUUGGUUUAAAUCCUUCGAUAUUUUGUGGCUGGAUUAUGUUCCGACUAAUUUAGAGUCGAGCACUGUCCUACCUUUUUUUCAGGAAUGAUUCUCCCGACAUUAUUAUUAUUUUUUAUAUAAAAGUAUACGGAGCGAUUUCUUUAUGUAAUUUAUGUUGUUGAUUAACAAAUAUGAAGGAUGGAUAGCAAAUGUUGAGAGAUGGAACCAACUCGCGGUCAGGACAACUGUGCCCCCAACUUUUGAAGCCGGGAUGUAUCGUUAGCCAGCUUUCAGGCCUUCAAGCACGGGAUCCUUCUGCUUUUGUGUGCUUAACUAGUAUGAUUACCAUCAAGGAUUCUAGCAAUUGCAUUAACACGAUUGCUUUCUCGUUCAUUACUAGUUUGUGUUUUGACUGUGCUUUGAUUGUAUUUAUAUCCAUUUGUUUAUCAAGAAAAAGAAAGAAUGUUAUAUUGAAGUAUGUUCGCUUUAAUUAGCUUCAACAAAUCUCAGUCCAAAUUCUUUUGCUUGCAUGAUCUUUAGUUUACUCACUUUGAGUAAGGAAUACCCUAAAGAUUAUGGCUUUGUUGUCUAAAUUUUCUUGAAAUUCAUAUCUCACUUUAGUUCUUAAGCUUCAACUCUGUACACUACUUUACUAAGCAUAAAAUCCAUCACAUUUUAAUCUUAAAAUUUGAGGAUCACUAGAUUAACGUAAAUGGGGUUAUGAAAUUAUAUUUGAAAAUAAAAAUUGUAGAUGAUGCCAUGUUACGUAUUUUAAUCGUACACAAAAAAACUGAAAAUAAAUCCACUGAACUUUACAAUUUACAUUUUGGUUCAUCAUUACGCUAUUAACGUUGAGUCUUUUCGUGCCUAUUCAAUUGCAAAAUCUAACAACUAAACUGGGUUAAAAAAAAAUGAAGACGACAAAAUUUAAAUAUUAAACGAGAUGAGAAACUCUUUAGCCAAAUGAGAAAAAUUGGGUGAAAAAAACAUUAAAUUAAUUUUCUAUACACUGACAGUGUAUACACUUGCAUUAUUGGAUGUAUGACAUAUAAUUUGAAUUUGAAUUUGAAAACCAAAUUUUACAUAUGUGUCGUGCAUCCAACCGUGAUUGUGUAUACACUAUCAGUGUAUAUAAGAUUUACUCAAAACAUUUUCCCAUUUAGACCCAUUUGUUUUUUGCUAAACCCCAAUGCAUUUCCAUUUAAUUUAAGCCAGCUAGUGCAACUCAAUCAAUUGGGCAAUAAUGUGAGGCAUAAACUAAACCAAAAAAAAAUCAAGAAAUUUGUCAACAAAAUGCAGAAAUACAAAGGCAACAUUACAUAAUUUUUAAAAAGGAAAAGAAAUCAAGAAAGUUGUCAUCAAGAUGGAGAAAUGCAAACGCUAUUUUACAUUAUUGUUCAAAGACUGAGAAAGAGGAAAGCAAGGAGUCUGACGGUGAAUAAAGAUAUAUUGCCUUUGAUCAAUUUUAAGGCAAAAAACAAAAAUCCGUCACCCCUCAUCAAUUGAUAUUUGAUUCUCAAAGACCUUUUUAAUUUUACUAAUUAAACUCAUUGGGGGAUUUAAACCUUAUAUCCCAAUGCUUAAACCACAGCGAUGAAGGACUCAAAGUGAAAGGAAAUUAGAAUAUGAACAUUUUUUUAAUUGAGGAAAAAAAUUAUUGCAAAGUAUUUAUAAUUCACAAAAAAGCAAAAAAAAAAAAAAAAAAAGUUGGAUAAAAGGCUGACAAUUGGAACCCGGGCAACAGGAAGCCCAUCCACCUUGUGGUUGGCCCAAUGGCCCCAAUCUCACUUUCCCCACCACGAAGGUCCAGUUCCUCUCUUGCCGGUUAGCAAAGAGGAAGAUUAAUUCUGAAGAAACAAAACUCACCAUCUCAUUUAUAUCAUCAGAACUCGAGAUCUUAAUAGCCAAACUAAUCAGACGGAUUUCUGCUCUUCAAACUAAAUCUGGUUAACUCUUCUUCAAAUAUUUACUCUCUCCAAUUGAAGACUCAAAAUUUCACGCAAAAUCCUUAUAUUAUACACUGAAAAAGGGGAAAAAAUCAUCCCUGAAAAUCUAAUUAUAUAGAGAGAGUCAGAUAUUAAUUGGAGCAAACAGCUUAGCUUUGAGGCGGAUCAGCAAUGGAAACCACGCAAGGUGGAACGGAGAGAGAGAAAUCCAACUCGGCUUCUUCGGCUCCCGUUCCCGCUGUCGCCAGCUUCUGGAAAGGUACAACAUUCUAAUGCAGGAGUACUAUAUAAUCCUCUUUUCUUAGCAGCUCUUGUUUUUAGUUAAAUGCAAUUACUUGUAUAGUUGAUUUAAUCAGAAUUUUGGGAUAUCAUUUUUUUUAGUGAAUUUUGUUAUCAUUCACUGAGUUUUAAGAUUUGUGUGAGUUUGGAUAUUAGUUCGAGAAUAGAUUGGUAAUGUUAGUUAAAUCCUGUAGUUUUUCUUAUUGGAAUAAGUUCUAUUCAAACCUGGGGGAUUUUUCAGUUAGAAAUUUAACUCCUAGGUAUAAGUUUGAAAUGAUUGAGUAUCAUUGGAAAUUGGACAAGUUAGCGGAGGCGAAUCAAGCUAGUAUCAACAGUGCCUUGAUAAAGGAGCAAGCAUGUGCUUCAUUAUUAGCUAGUAUUUGGUUUGAGCCGCGUGUAAGUUUUGUGUUUUGUAUUUCUGGAUCUAGUUCAGUAAGCAAAGUAUGUGGCAUGUGUCUGCUAUGUUGGGUAAUACCUCUCUGCAUUAUUAGUUUCAGAAGAUGAUGAAGUGUCACCAGCAGGAACUUAGCAAUGGGGUAGUCUUUUAUGCUCUUAGAGUGUGAAAAUUUGUGUUAAAUCUCCUGUUAAAUGUGACAUACAUGUAUACCAUCCCAUGUAAAAUAAUCUUUACAUUUUUGGUGUAUGAAAGAUUUGUGCUUUAACUUAGUUUUGCUCUAAUUGGUAGGAAUUUAAUUAGAGAAUAAGGAAAUAUUUGCAAGAAUUUUGUUAAACAUGCCUAGCCACUUUUUUUACCUUACAACCUAAUGAGGUAGUAUCGGACAAUAUGUUCUGCUUCAUUGGUGUUGCUAUUUUCUUGCCUCACUUGAUAUGUCAUAUUUUCCUAUUUCAGACACUCCAUGGUUAAUGUAUGAAUGAAAAAAAUGUUUCUAGUUCCUUGCAUGUGAAAUUACAGAGUUAAAAAGAUUUGGAUGUUUGUAUUUGAAUUUGAAGUAAAGAUUCACUUUUAUGGAUCUGUAUUGGCUGGGUUGAUUGGAAAAACUUUACACUUAUAAAUCAUUUGAUCAUGCAGAUUUUGAUCUGGAGAAAGAACGAGCCAUUCUGGAUGAACAAGGGCUUAGGAUUGCUGAGAAUCAGGAGAACAGUCAGAAAAAUCGUCGAAAGCUCGCUGAGAGUACUAGAGGUAUUAUACUUGCCAGGUCACUAUUGUAGUCCCUGAUGUUCAGUUUUAACUUAUGUGAAUGGUAGGAGAUCCUUGCUCCUAUCGCUUGAUCGGUGUAAAUUGUUGGUGCUGCUAAUAUAUCUUUUUUGAUGACCUUUUCUGAAAUUCUCUUCAUAUACUGUUGACAGACUUCAAGAAAGCUUCAAAUGAAGAAAAGUUGAGUUUGUUUAACUCUUUACUCAAGGGAUAUCAAGAAGAAGUUGAUAAUCUUACCAAGAGGGCGAAAUUUGGAGAAAAUUCAUUUCUUAACAUUUAUCAGAAGCUUUAUGAAGCACCAGAUCCUUAUCCAGUUCUUGCUUCAAUAGCAGUAAGUACAAGUUGUCUGUUCACUUUUCCUUGUUUGUCUUUUUCCUUGAGAUUUUGUGAAGUAUCAUUCUGCUUUCCCAUGUAGCUGAAGUCCAUUUGUCUUUGAAGUUGAGUGCAGAAGAUACUUGAUUGUCUCUCAACAUGGAAAAGAACGUAGAAUUUGAAAUUAAAAUCAGUUUGUCAAAUUUGUGUGCCUUGCGGAUAAUGAGAGACGGAAUAACGAUCUCAUGAUUAUGUUGCAUAAAAUUCAUGCUUCAUAUCUUAUUAUUUUUCUUACUUCGCUGGCUUCCCUAUGGCAGAGUAAUAGAUAAGCCGCCAAAAUAGCAGUUGGAUUUACGGUGCAAGAAAUUUAACUCCUGAUAACUACUACACCUUUUCAACAGCUGUCAUGGAAAUCAUAUGGACAUCGUAGAGUGCAUGAAAUACCUUAAUAUUCUCACAGAAGGCUUCGUAAAAGAUGUGAUUUUUGAAAGCUUUCUUUGUCUGCAAGAUUAGUAACUUUUGAACACUUAUCCAAUCAAUAUGGAAGUUUACUAGUAAAAGGACUAAAAUUAGCUUCCUAAUUAACUUCUAGAAGUUGGGAUACAAGCUUUGUACACCAAAGCUCUGCUGCAUACUUUAACAAAGUUAAGCUGUUCUUCCUUUUAGCUAAUUAGAAUCAUGUACCAUGAAAGUUCUAUUUCAUCUCAAUGUAUGUUAUUUGUAUUAGAAGCACCAGGAAACAAAAGCUACUGCAUACUAUAUCCUUCAUAGAAUUGAUGAGGUCUUUGCAUGACUGUGGAACCGAUGGAACUGAUGAUGAGCUUGUGUCAUAACCUAGCAGUCUUCAAAGACUCAUUUUCUAAUGGAUUAGUGAUUGUUGUGAUCAUUCUGCAGGAGAAAGACUCAAAGCUGUCUGAACUAGAAUCAGAGAACCGAAAGAUGAAGGUUGAGCUUGAGGAAUUCCGCACAGAGGCAACUCAUCUGAAAAACCAACAGGCAACCAUACGAAGACUUGAAGAGCGGACCCGCCAGUUAGAACAACAGGUUGGAAUCUUUUUAUAUAAUGUGGCAUAUGUUCCAUUUUAUGCUUUUUGGAGCAAUAUGUGCAUUGGUCUGCUUUAGGUUUUUUAUUAUUGAGCAAUUGGUGGUGUAAAUUGAGGUUGACAAAUCAGACUCUUCCUCCUCUUUGUGCAAUUUACUUUUAUGUUCCUUUCUUCAGUCCAUCUUUUGACUUCUUUCUGUGGACUUUCUACUUUUUGUGAUAUGAUCUAGGAUAUCUAAUUAUGGGUGGAAAUUCCUAUUAUGCUUAGUUGUUCAUACAGUGGUAGUUUUUUCUUCUUGUCACAAGUAUCUAGUAAGCAAUUGAAGUGUCUGGAGGAGAGCUUUCUAGAGUAAACCAGUUCAAUUUCUGCUUCUAUUUCUGCUUGUGAUACUUUUUGGCUGCGUCCAGGAUUUUCUUCUAUCUUUCACAGCAUUCAAUAUCUCCCUGUACUGUUAGCUUCCAUAUUUAUUUUAAUCUACAGUAAAUUCCUUUUUCAUUAUUCCUGUGAUCAAGACUUGAUACAUAAGCUCCUGACUAAUAGAGGAUCUAUGCUAGUGGAUAAUAUGGCAGGUUUUUACACUUCAUCACGGGGUGUGUAGUCUAGUUUAAUUUGGCUUUUUUUGUGUGUGUGUGUGUGUGUUUUUUUUUUGGUGCCUAAUAUAGAUGUUUUUGUCCUGAUCGUCUUUUUCUGCUAUAAAUUUAGAUGGAAGAAAAAGUAAAAGAAAUCGUGGAGAUCAAGCAACGUAGUUUGGCAGAAGAGAAUCAAAAAAUUAUGGAGGUUUUGAAGGAAAGGUAUUAUCAUCCUGGUGUCAUAGAAUCGCAAGCAGCUAGUGUAUUAAUGCAUUAGUUGAUGUUAGUUUUUAUGUCAUGUCAAGGGACUGUAUCCCCCCCCCCCCCAAAAAAAAGUUAUUACUGCUUUAUCCCUUGAUGCAGGGAGCGGAUGUUGCAAGAUCAAUUACGCCAAGCCCAAGACAGUGUCUCUACCAUGCAAAAGUUGCAUGAACUUGCACAGAGCCAGUUGUUUGAAGUUCGUGCACAAUCAGGUUUUACUGGCCUGUCACAAUUCAUUAAUCAAAUGUAACAGAAUGAGAGAUUGAAAGUUGGAAGAUUGUUUUGGAAAAUCCGUGAAUAUACUGUUCCUAAUGUUGAAGAUUGUCCAUUUCAGAGGAAGAGAGAGCAGCAAAACAAUCAGAAGUCAAUCUCUUGAUGGACGAAGUUGAACGUGCACAAUCUCGGCUUCUUAGUCUUGAGAGGGAGAAGGUGUGUGACAGGAUCCCCUCUUUGUUUUGAAAAAGAUAAGACAUCCUUUUAUGUUAGUUUCAGCCACUAAUAUGGCAUGUGUGUUUGGUUGGAGAUUGUUCUUUUAUCAAAAUUUGGGUCAGUCUGGGCUUGUUUGAAGAUUGACCACAGUUAUCAUCAGUUAUUCAUUUUCUGUUCAUAGUAGGGGAAUGCUGUAAAAUGUUUUGUGAUGCCAUAUUACACCAUAUAUCAUUAUAGUAAUUGAACCCACAUUUAUCCCAUAUAAAUUCCCUGAAGAACAGUAGAAAAUCAAUAACAUGACCGAGGAUCCUCGUGAAUGUAUCCAGAGUUGCUUUCUGUGGUUACCAUACUUGGUCCUUCAUAUUUGACACUCUUAUAGCUGUUUCCUUACCACUCAUCUUCCAGUUCGUUAGGAAGUUAUCUUAGUCAGAGAGCUGAUAUGGUCUUAAAAGGGGUUUACUCAGCUGGCAUUACAUAUUCUCAGCUUUGUCAUCAUCUGACAGAAUUCUUAUGUUCCUGCAAUUUAAAUUGGUCAGUUUACAUUCUCUUAUACUGGAAUUUGCUGCAGGGAUUGUUACAGUCACAGUUACAAACAUCAAAUGAAGAUAAUGAGCAGAAGAAAAGGUGAAUAGUUUUCCUUGAAGUAUCUUUCUUUUGUUUUUUUGAGAGUUAUGUAAUUCUUUUUAUGUUAUUAAUGCGGGCCUUCCAAUGAUGUAUAACUACUGUGUCAGAGAACUGGAAUUGUUCUUCCUUUCUAUUUUUUGAUUUGAAGAUUAUCUGAGUACAGAAAAACAGACGUAAAUUAUUUUGCUAAUCAGGGAAGAUUUGUUACGUUUCAAUACUGUCUCAUCCUUGUUGUACUUACUGAGAUUUAUGUGCAAGUUGGAUUAUAACAAAAGCUUCCAUUUAUCAAAGUCACAGAAUGCAUACAGAUUAUUUUUUUCGUUAAAGAGGUGAUUGCCAGAGAAAUGUGGAAAUGGAGCAAAAGUGUUGUUAAGAAUAUAAGCUUGAAUUAUGCCAUGAUGCAUAAUUUUGUAGGUGUAAAACUUGAUGUUAGUUAGGCCAUAGUCAGAAUGGAACGCACUGGUUGAGUAAGGACUUUAAAGUACCUAUCAGUUGUGAAAAUAUUUAACACUCUCUUAUUUUUGAAGUGCUUGGUGAAGAUAUAUUGCUUCUCUGCUCAAUCCAUACCUGUAUGUUGUUGAGUAAACAAUUGUUUCACUAAGACCUGGUCUAAUAUCGUCUUUUGCCUCUUUGCAGUGACAGUCUGGACGUGCAUAGCAUGCUUGAGAAUUCUCUUAGUGCCAAGGAAAAGAUAAUCUCUGAAUUAAAUAUGGAACUUCACAACCUUGAAACCACCUUAGCAAAUGAGCGAGAGCAGCACAUAAAUGAAAUGAAGAGAUUGAAUACUAAGCUUAAUGAGAAGGUAUGCCUGUUCUUCUUGACCCAUCCCAUCCCUGGGGCUAUCCAACAAUGUUUCCUUAUGUGGUCUUGUUCCUGACUGAAAUUUUGAAGUCUUUGAUGAUAUACAGAACUGCAAUUGUCAAGUAACCCAAUAAGUUACAGAUAGUUCCUUAAUUUGAGGUCUAGUAGCUGAUGUAAUAUUGCUUCCAAGAAUUCUUUAAGAGAUAAAAGAGGACAUGAUUUCUGCAUCCUCCUUUGGCUUGAUUAUAACUAAUCGGUCUAGAAAAGGAUUAACUCUGUUGAUGAUGAAUUUGAGUGUAGUCUAAUGCAUGGGAGAAAUAUAUUUCUUGAUACUUAUGGAAGAUUUGGAAGGGUACUAUAACUUUCCCUUGGAAAAAUAUGAUGAGAAAUUUUAUAAUGCUAGUUCUAUGACAUACUAUAAGUACACUUUUGCUUUUGGCAAGAAUUUUCCUUUUAGAAGGGAUGGGAGGUUGGAAGCUGGAAAGCCCCUAGGGAAUGAGGCGUGGCAAGAUUUGAUCCCCUUCUUAAGAUGGGGGAAUCAAAUCCAUACCCUUUGGGUUAUACCUAGUUCUUUGUUGGCCAGACUUAUUAUCAACUAUCGGAACAAAUAUAAUAGAAGUGGUUGGAGUUUUUUUUCUUUCUUUUUUUUUUUUUAAUUUUUAAUGAGGAUUGGUUUUCUUUUCAUGUUUUUCGAGCUGGAAGUUGAGGAAAUUGUAUCACCGUCCUCUGUGAGAAACUGAGAUCCAAGAUUCAAUAAUUUAGCCUGGUCUUAGUAGAAUUCAAGGUUGUCAUACACAAUCUUAGAUCUGUCCUUAUUGCUAUAUAUGCUCUUAUCCCUGCAUAGAUUAUUCUUCCUUGUCUUAAACUGUUUCAUUUCCUUCUAAAUAGUUUCUAAUUGGUUCUGUGCCAUAAAAGUUUUAGACUUAGGCCUUGUUGACCUAUAUUUGUCAAAAUUUCCAAAUUGGAGUCCUGUGGUAGUUCUUCUAUUUUUUCUGCACUCUAACCACCUUAGUGUUAUAAUUAUGUUGGUAUUAAUUUUUGUAUAUCUUCCUUGCCUUCAUACAUCUUUUCUCUUUUGAACCUAAGGAAACUAUUUUGGAGGAGAUGAAAAAGGAGCUUCAGGCAAGGCCAACAGAAAAGUUAGUUGAUGACUUGCGGAAAAAGGUCAAAAUCUUGCAGGUACCUAACUCACUCUUACAACUCUGUGUCAUCCUUUCAGGUAAUUGUAAUUAGAACAUUUUCAGUUGAAAGACAGGCAGGAAAAUGAUAGGGUAGAGAACUCUUAAAAUAGAAGGAAGGAAUACGAGUAAAUUGAGCAUGACAUAGUCGAUGUGCUUUGAUUUUCUCGUCUUGCUCCACUGCUUCAUGUAAGCAAUUGAAAUUUGGAUAAUAAGGCAUUGACCCUAUCAAAGACUGGACAUUUUUGUCAACGUCAGUAUGAAUGAUUUUCAGAUUUUCCUUUAAUUUGCUUCCAAAAAGUUCUAAUUUGGAAAUGAUGAUUAAUAACUUGUUUUCAGAAAAAUGAAAUGACUGUUAGAUCUGAUUGCAGCAUGUUGUGUUAGUUUUUAUGGCUUUUGACAUCACUUGGAAGAUUUAAAGGCAUCAGUGGUCCAACUAUGUUCUCUGACUCUCUCCAUCAGUUGCUUUGUCCAUCUUAGCUCUCAUGAUUACAACUGAGGUUGUUGCUUGAUAAAUUCUUUCAUUCAUUUAUCAACAAUUUCAUUUUAAAUUUAAGGCUGUGGGCUAUAAUUCUAUUGAGGCUGAAGAUUGGGAAGUAGCUACCACUGGAGAAGAGAUGAGCAAACUCGAGUCGCUACUGCUUGACAAGAACCGGAAAAUGGAGCACGAACUUACUCAGUUGAAGGUAUGAAGUUCCAAAAUGGAUGAUAUUGAAAUUUUUAAUGGUCCCAGUAUCUUUUUAAUUGCUAAACAUCAUUGUGAUCUAUAUGUGCUUGCACUUGAACAAAAGAAAACUUAUCAGAGAAUGACUUCUAUCUUUUACCUAUUAACUGUCAGGUCAAGCUUUCAGAAAAGACAUCUUUGUUGGAAGCAGCUGAAGCCGAGAGAGAAGAAUUAACUGCAAAGGUCAAUGAACAACAACGGCUAAUACAGAAAUUAGAGGAUGAUAUACUAAAGGUUAGGGCAAAUUUUUACUGAAAUAAGUGAAUAGUGAUGGUAUGGUUAAUAUAAACAGGACUUUACAUGCUGUCGUAUGUCGUAUCAGAAGUCUCUUGUUUUUGGGAUAAAAUCAUGGUUUUUUUUGUGUACUAAGCAGAAUCUCACGAAAUUUAAACUUGUUUGGUUGGUUUGCAUAUUGGGGAAUAAAAUACCAUGACUUUGACAUUUUUAAUCACUUCCUAUCUAAAUUUUAUUUCUCUUACAUAUAAUGCAGGGUUAUGGUUCAAAAGAUACAAAGGGAACUUUAUUUGAAGAUUGGGAUCUAUCGGAAUCUGGAGGGUCACAACCAUCUGAGGUUAUAUUUGUACCUCUUUUAUCAAUUUCUCCCUUAAUUUUGAUCCCUGCAAAAUAAAAUAGAAAGUAUUACUGAGGAAAAGUAUGUUGUGCAAUUCUCUAAACUGCGCAGCAUAGAUGGAUUAUAAGUACAUUUUUCCUGCUUCCUGUAUGAAGUUCUCUCUAAUAAAGCUAGUUUAAAAUAGUCUUUUCUACAGGUGCAGUGAGUUUGGCAUUUAUUUGAUUCAUCUGGCAUGCAUUAAUACUUGUUAAACUUUUAAAAAUGGCUAAGUGGCUAGCAUUAAGCCUAUCUCUGACAAUUUGUAAAAUUGCAUGAAGUACAUCAGUGCCAGCAGUGGCUAGUCAACCUGCAAUUUAUCUGAAUGGUUCCAAUUAUUGGUCCCACUUCCUCAGGGAAAAAGUAAAGAUCAUCUCUUCAGAUUCUUUGGCAGAACAAACUCAACUAAUACACCCAGAUGUUCAUUGUUUUAUUCUUUGUUAAUUUAACAAUUUAUUGAUCUCAACUGUUCUGCUUCUGGGCGUUUGAAUAUGACAAUUUUCAGUAAUUUAACUCUGUCUAACAGAACACGGAACAAAGACAUGUUUCCUCAGAUCAAGAUCAAAGUUCGAUGCUUAAGGUGAUCUGCAAUCAACGAGACCGUUUCCGGGCACGCUUGAGAGAGACUGAAGAGGUUGCUUAGUUGCUUCUCUUUGUAUUUCAACUCCUAUAUUUUACCACCUUUAUCUUUUAGCAAGCAGUGUAAUUUGUUCACGUUUGCAUAUCCUCUGGUCUCCUAAACUUUUGACAUUUGCAGGAAAUAAGACAGCUGAAGGAGAAGAUAGGGAUGCUAAAUGCUGAACUUGAGAAAACAAAAGCAGAUAAUGUUAAACUCUAUGGGAAAAUUCGUUAUGUUCAGGAUUAUAAUUCUGAAAAAGUAAUUUCAAGAGGAUCAAAGAAGGUGCUUUUUUGCAACUCAUCUAUCUAUAUACCUUGCUUCUAGUCUUAUUAAAAAAAAAAUCUAAAAUAACUUGAAAUUCUCAGUAUGCCGAGGAUUUAGAAAGUGGUUUCAGCUCUGAUGUGGAAUCGAAGUAUAAGAAGAUUUAUGAAGACGAUAUAAAUCCUUUUGCAGCAUUCUCAAAGAAGGUUUUUUGACUUCUCUCUUUUCCUUGGUUCAUUUAUAUAUAUAUGUGUGUGUGUGUAUAUACCGUCUUCUCUAUUUGCGAUGGAGGAUAAUGUUGUGUUUGGAGCUUAGCUUUGAUUUCCUUUCAAGUCUAGAAUCAAAGAGGGAAAAAGUCUUCUUUUUGUGUUAUGUUCAGCGGUUCUAUUGCAGGAUUUCGUCUUUAGAAGUUGGGUUCGUAAACAGUGUCACUUUUAACUUGCUUAUGUCCUGUUUUGCAGUUGUGAUAUUUAUAUUUUAUUUCUGAAACUUCGUCAAACUAUUCAACCGUACAUCUUCACAGAAGAAAAUGUGUCAAUAUGGCCUUACGCAAUGUGUUAAUUCUAUUCUCCUAAUUUGCUUCUGUUUUCCUUGUCAUAAAUCAUUUACCUAGUUUCUUUUCUUUUCUUCUUUCUGUUGCUUCCUUUUAAACCAUGCUUAGGAAAGAGAUCAAAGGUACAAGGAACUGGGCUUAAGGGAUAAAAUUACUCUUAGCAGCGGACGGUUUCUUCUCGGUAACAAGUAUGCUUCGAUGGUCCUUUUCUGUUUUUUAAAUGUAAAUAAAAUAUGCUAAAUGCUCUAAAAUGGUCCCUUGCAUUUAGAAAUUUCAGGUGCAAUGCAAAUCCUUUCCAGUUCAGUUGCUGUAUAUUUUGGCCUUUGAUUAUCUAAUUUGCAUCUAACCAUAGAUCUUGCUUAAUGUAAUUGUUGGACCGCUGGCUGGCCAGGGGAUGGUGCUAAGAGUCCUCGGUGCUGUUAGGUCCAGGGUUUGAAUCUUGGGCCUGGUAGUUGGGGUUGGGAGGGUGUGGAGAGGGAUUGAAAAAAGAAAGAAAGAAGUAAUUGUUUAUCUUCACAACCCCCAGCACAUUGGCAAAUGCAGCUAGAAGUUCCUUAGUGUUGAUGGAGGCUUAGACUAAAAUAUUUUCUCGGCAAUAAAUAUUGCAUUUGAGUCUAUGACUUUUUACUACAACCUAAAGUCUAUGUUCAAAGAGGCUCGGUUAUUGUAUCGUGUCUGCGACUGCCUAAAGCCAGCCUGACCAUUUUGAAUAGCUGGCUAUAAGUACAUAACCUGAGUAAUGGUUACUGCUAAUUGUUUCAUAAACAAGCUAUUUUCUUUCUCAUUUACCUUCUCUUUUUUGGGUGCCAGCACAUACAAAUCCUUCAUCCUCUAGUCAACCAUUUGAGUUAUUCACACUGAUAAUGCUAAAGGGAAACAAUUGAAUGCCUUGCAGAUAUGCUCGAACCUUUGCAUUCUUCUAUACGAUUGGGUUGCACGUAUUAGUCUUCACUUGUCUGUAUAGGAUGUCAGCAUAUAGCCACCUGAGGUACUCCAACCGGUUCUGAUUUCUCUCUCCUUUGCUGAAUAUCAUAAUUCUUCAUAAUCCCAAUGGUUGGUUAUUAACUGUCCGUCGUCUCCUAUGUUUAUGCAGCAAUGGUCCUGAGGAAUCACUGCUUGGAGAUAAAAACAUAAAUCUUCCUCACGCAUUAUAGUCCUUUUUUAUACUUGUUCUCGAUUCUCUUAUUGCCUUGUUGGAUGGUUCUUUUUUUGUUUAAAUUCAAUUGUAGACAUAGAAAGCUGGUUGAUGUAAGUAUUUUUACGCGGUGUAAAUAGGGAUACUGAGACGGCACUUUUAUUCUCCCGCAUUGGGUAAGAGUACAUUUUCCCCUUUCCAGUCCCAAGUCUUUCAUUUUGCUCCAUUGAAUGGUCUAGUGAUUAGCUUAAAGUUCAUCAUGGAGAUACACUGUGUAUGAUGAGUCCAUCAAGAACUACUAACACUUAGGUUGAGUCCUCAGGAACAAACUCUUUAAUCCGAGCACCCAAAGGAUCUGCCAAGACGUCUGAAUAAUCACGCCACAAUGCUGGUUAAAACUUAAUGAAAUUUGAGUACCGUAAAAUUUUCUCAUUUAUCUGUGAGCAUAGAGAGCAUCACAAAUUUUCAUGUUCUCAUGCGUGUGCAUUCAGGGGUAGAAUCCAAUGUAAUAGCACAAAAUAAAAUCUUUAUCACAAUAAUAGAACACUUUUGGCAGUCAAGAUCAUACGCAUGAAACCGAAGAUCAAACAAAAAGGCGUCAAUUGUUAGUCUAAAUGUGUGUGUGAAAUGCACAAUUGAUCUAGGAAGUAGUACAAGAGAAACAGCCAAGCCAACACAUUCAGUUGAUUACCAUGGUUACAGAUUUUCCGUAGCUAGAGCAUUACAAAACUGAGCUUUACAAAAUUUAAUUACCAGAACUCGUAUUUAUAUCGACCGAAAUUGGAGUGAAGACCGCGACAUUAACUACUCAAAAAAGUGUAAAAUGGUUUAUGCUGGAAUAAAGAGGAGAGAGCAGCUCAAAUUUAAGCACUAAAGACAGGUCCUCGAAUGGAAAUUUGGGACUCGAAGCGUAACCAUCCUUACUAGGAGAUUAGCUAACUUUCGAGCCUCAUCACAACGAAGUCGUUGUAGUAUAGUGGUGAGUAUACCCGCCUGUCACGCGGGUGACCCGGGUUCGAUCCCCGGCAACGGCGUUAUCUUUUAUCUUUUAUGUUUUUUGCUUUAUUGGAUUUGUGCCAAAACGGCGUCGUGAUGCUUAAUUUGAGUUUGAGGUCUAGCAGUCCAUAAUUCUUCUGUACAAAAUGUUCUGGUAACAGCAGCAAUGGCCGUCCUCUGCCUUUCUCCGCAUAGUCGGUGGCAGCGCUGGCGGCGCUUCCAUUCGACCAAAGAGUUUGCCCAUUUUCAGCUUAAUUUUCAUAAAUCAUUAGAAAAUUUCCUAAACCAAAUUUUGCCCCAGUUUUGUUUAUGCCUGCUUAGUUAAACUUCGUGAUAAUGAGAGUAUCUGCUGCAUUUUCUACCACCACCGCAGCCGCCGCUCUCCGCCUCCUCUUCUCCUCUUGUGACCACCCUAAAACCCUUAUCCCAUUUUAUUCUUGGACAAGGCAUUCUUCUACUCUUACCCAAUUUACCCCAAGAUUAAGAAUGGUGCAUAAUACUCAUAAUAAUGACCUAUCCCCUUCCUCAGUCUCCGCCGCAGCCUCUUUUUCCUCUUCUGCAGCAGCGUCAGCGUCAGCAGCGGCGCCUACUGAUAAGCCGAAAACUCAGACCUGGCUUAUCGUAGGGCUCGGUAACCCGGGGAAGCGGUACAAUGGGACCCGCCAUAACGUCCGUACUUUCUCCUCCCUUCUUCUUCAUAGUCGUUUAAAGUAAUUUUAUUGGAAAAUCUUGAUUAAUAAAAGUUUUUGAUUGAUAGGUGGGUUUUGAGAUGGUGGAUUACAUUGCUCAAGCAGAGGGCAUUUCAAUGGGUAGUAUUUCCUUCAAGGCCCUGUUUGGAAAAGGUUAAUUUUUUUUUUGUUCUUUUACUUUUGCUACUGUUGACGCUUGAAUCUUGAGGUAGAUGUUGAAUGGACAUUUUGUUUAGGUUAAAAAAAAAAGGAAAGAUUUAAACUUUGUUGAUUUCUGGGACUUUUUUUCCCCUUUUUUGGGUAAUGGAUAGUUGUUGAAGUUGUAUUGAAUUUCCAUUGUAGGUCAUAUUGCAAAUGUGCCUGUGAUGCUAGCUAAACCACAGACUUUCAUGAAUGCAAGUGGUGAGUCUGUAAGUUUGUUUCCUCUGCUCUCGCAAUUUUUCUUUGCUAUGCACUGCAUGAUACUAACUAAUGUCUGUAGCAAUGGUUAACUUGUUUCUUGUUCCUCGACUCUGUAAUAGGUUGGGGCAAUUGCCUCGUAUUAUAGGAUCCCAUUGGCGCAAGUCCUAGUGGUAAUUAUGUGUGUUUUGAUUAAAAGCCAAUGAAUAACUUUCUUUCAAUCUGCUUUAAAAAAAAAAGAGAGAGAGAAAAAAAAAAUUCCUUACAAUCUUGGUUGGCUUAAGGGCGUAAAGAUUUUAUGCUUUGUAGAUUUUUGAUGAUAUGGAUCUUCCAUUUGCAAAGCUGCGGUUACUGCCAAAGGGUGGACAUGGAGGGCAUAACGGGUACAUAUCAGUCUGAAAAUUAGCUUUUGUAUUGCUUCCAUUCAACAUCUACUGGUUUUUAUCCCAUUGCAUCUUCCCUCUGCUGUAAAGUUAAAUUGGUGAUUUAAAAAUGGCAAAAUUGAUAUAAUUAUAUUGUUUAAACAAGUCCAUAGACAUAUAUGUAGGCAGAUAUCUAAAUUACCAAUUCAGGGAAAUUCAGUGAGUUAAAACUCUUAGUAGACCAAUAAAUGCAAUCAUGCAUCUAAGCAGAAGGAUCUGAUGUUGACUUAGAAAUGCUUCUCACUGCUAAAGAUUUUAGUUAUGUUGUGGAUUGGAGAUUAAGACCGUGCCAGCUCUGAUAAUUGUUUCUUGAAAGAUGGAGAGCAGAUGACUUUCUGCAAUGUGACAAAGCUCUCUUGGUUCUCUGCCAAUUUUUUUUAUUUGUAAGCAACAUUAGAUGAUUAAUGCUGAACAAAAUCUGUCUUCUUUAGAUAGAUAUUAAGCCCUUCUUGUACUGUUAUAAGGAAGACAGACUAAAAAAAUUUGGGUUAUGAUGACAUAAUGUCAUUCAUAAUCCAUUAAGGUUUAUGUAAGUUUUCUGUAAAAGCUUUAAAAAUUAUGUACUUCGUGUCUCUGGCUAACUGAAGAUCUCAAUUCACCAGUGGUCUGCCAAUGGUUGCCAAGAGCAAGGACCAUCUAAAAAUAACACCUUCGUUUCUCAAGCAUAUCGACAAGUUUUGUCUCAACAGAAUUUAUUUUUGUGGUUUUGCAAAGGAAGAUUGAUGCCAUUUUCUUUUCAGGAUGAAGAAUAUUAUUAAUCACUUUAAAGGUAGCCGGGACUUUCCUCGUCUAAGGAUUGGUACAUCCUGAACUUAUUUUGCUUUCUUGUGAAAGUGUCUCUUCAGGUCCUUGUCAUUUACCAUUUUCAUGAAAUACAUGUAGGCAUUGGCCGGCCCCCCGGGAAAAUGGAUCCCAUGAAUUUCGUUAUGCGCCCAUUCACCAAACAAGAACGUGAAGAGGUAAUAUUCAAGUUUAAUGCACUGUUAAACGUCAUAUAAUCAAGGGAUAAUGGUUAAUCAAAAGAAGGGAGUUAUAGUGAAGAUUAUGUAAGAGGUUAACAAUUGCUUGUUUCCUUUCUCCAGUUGGAUUUUACGUUUCAGACUGGCUUGGAAGCAGUGCGAAUUCUUUUGCUCGAGGGAAUCAACAGAAGUGCUACUUUUGUUAAUAGUGCCAAGUCAUUGGAACAGCUUCAGUAACUAGCUGCUUUCCUACGUUCUUUUUUGAAGUGGUAACAACGUCAUGCAAGUUUGCAAGUGGAGGAAGCUCUGGAAAGUGCAGAAAUCCAGCUAGUAUGGAACUUUGUUGGAGAACUAUAAUAGAAGGCUAUUCGACACCCAAAGGCGAUUUCUUGUUCUUUUCCCUUUAAUAUCAUUCUUACAUCUUAAUUCCUUGAGGGAGUAUGUAUACGUUGGUUAAAUGACAAUUGAUCUUACGGCUAUCUUACUUUUUGGUCUCAUUGAUGUAGUUUAGCUUCUGUUGUUUCUAAAUGAUUCAGGAAUUCCCACCUUCUGACUUAGCAGCAAACCCUCAAAGUUGAAAUUCAGCAAAAAAUUGUUUGGACAAAUAAUAAUGAACUUAGCCCCUAACUUACACUAAAAGAGACCUCUUACUUACACUUAAAAAAAAAAAGGGAAAGAAAAAGCCUUAACCACUAACCAAAUUUAGAAAGCAAACUGUAUGUCUAAAAUAUUACAGGUUUUUUAAGAGGUGCUCAAUAAGUGCUCGUUAAUACACUUAAAUUUUACCCAAUCCAUCAUUUAUAUAUACACCGAUGAUUGUUACCCAUCCUUAUAUUUAUGUACUUUUUCUAAUUAAUUUUAUAUUUUAAAAAGAGUAAAUUUUAUAUACACUGACAGUGCAUACACUAUUACCGUUGGAUCCAUGACACAUGUGCAAAAAUUGAAUUUCAAAUUCAAUUUUGUAUCGUUGUCAUUCAUUCAAUAUUGACAGUGUAUACACUGCCAGUGUAGGAAAUAUUAAUCUUUUUAAAAAAUCUAACACAUGAAGUACAUUUUAAAGCGUGUCCAAUGAAUACCUGUAAGACAAACCAAAAAUUCCAUUAGAUAGACCAAAAAUUUAUUAGCGAUAUUAAGAAUAUUCACUGAUGUAGAUUUACUUUUAAAAUUGACUUGAUAAACUAGUAUAAUUUCAUUGUGAAAUAUUAAGAAAUUAAACCAUAACCAUAUACCCCCUCCGUCCUACUUUGAUAGUUUUGAAUUUUUCACACAAUUUAAGAAAAUUUAGUUAACUUUAUGGAAAUAGUAAAUCUAGCCUACUAUUUUUUUAAUAUACCCUCACAUUAAUAUUAGUAGUAUAAUUAGCCAUUAUAUCUUUACAUUAAUUACAACAACAAUAUUGAUGAAAAGUUACACCAUUCAAGGCAAUGAAUCAAAGCAAUUAAUGAAUAAGAUAGGUUAUAUCACUAAUAAUAAAAUACAUCAAAUAAUGGUAAAGGAAAAAAAAAAGGCCUCGGAAAAAGAGAAUUUGAAAAGUUAAACUUGUAUUAUCUUAGACGAAAAUUCAUUGAACUUAGCCAUCUUGGACUCUUCAAAUUGGAAUUGUUUCAUAUUUUGAUUUUAUUUAUGGAUCCCCGGGCAGAGGGAUGGUAGAAUCAGCCAUCUUUGGACGCUUCGAAGUGCAACGAUGUAUAAACGUCAUCCCACAUCGAAACACACAGCAGAAGGCAAGGCUUGCGUGAGAUAUUUAAGUAAGCGGGGUAGCAACGUUGAAACAUACUUACCUGGACGGGGUCAAUGGGCGAUCAAGAAGGCCCAUGGCCUAGGUUGGUGACCUCCAUUGCACUCGGGAGGGGUGCCCGCCUAAGGUCAGCCCAAGUUGGUUGAGCCUGCGUCAUAAUUUGUGACAGUGGGGGCCUGCGUCCGCGCGGCCCCUGCCCAAGACUAAUGUCUCAAAUCUUUGUUUUUUCGUUGGUUUUAGAGACUUGGUCUCUCACUCUAAAAUCUUAUUAUACAAUUCGUACAUCUUUGGCCUGGUGCCUCUAGUAUUUUAUUAUUUCAAAUCCCUAAUUAAAUUAGCUAUGUGUCAGGCUCUAAUGCCUUCAGAUGGUUAUUCUAGCAAAAUAAAAGAAUGCAGCUUGUGUUAGUUUGGGAAGGUUGACAAUUGAAUUACUUCCCUCUAAUUUGAUUCCAGUACCUGGUUUUCUAUUAACAAAAUUAUGAAUUUUAUGUCAAUUUUCUUUUAACCCUGACCUAAUAAACAAAUGACGAGAAUAAAGUAUGUAAAAUCCAAGGUCAGUUCUUCUGCCUUGCGCCCCCCCCCCCCCCCCCCCCCCCCCCCCCCACAAUUCAAUUAAAUACUAGUAGUACAUCUCAAGGUCAUUUGGCACCAUAUGAUUCCACCAGGGCAAAACAAAUAUCAAACAAUGAUAAAUGAUCAAGAACCCAUACAACAUCAUCUUAAUUGAAGAAAAUGACUCCUGAACUGAAAAAUAUAUGGUUGAAAUACAUACUACAAUACUCAAUAUGUCCAGCACAGUAUUCAAGUAUGUGCUUGGCAUCACCAAAAGGAAAGCAGCAGCAUUCACGUACCAAUGUGCUCAUCUGAAGCAAGUCUAGAGUAUAAACCUCUGUUGCGAGGCAUCAUAUUUCCAUUUGAAAGUAAUCCUGGAAGUCCUGCUGCGAGAACUUGAGGCUUGAUCCUUCGAAUUUUCAACUGCUUCAGAUGUGCCUACCUCGCAACGGAUUAGCUGGUUUUCUGGACCUGCAUUACUGCCAAGUCCCUCCAGCUUUUCCAAUGCCAACUGAGGUAAGACAAUGACCAAAACGGGUACAUUUUGGAUAAAAUUCCUAGACAGUCAACCAGUAGUGUAUAAAAUCUUUAAGAUAAAGAAAACCUGACCUUGCUCAGUUUGUCAUGAAUUAUCAUUCCCUGAACAAGAAUUAACAUCUAUGUUAAGAAGAAUGCAUUGGAAAGAGCGAGAAGUCUGGCAAUUAUAGACCCCCCAAAAAAAAAUGAAUGUCUAAAUAAUUAAUGGACAGAAAACCAGACCUCAAUUUGCAGCUCAUCAGUAAUCUUGUUCUGCACAAGAAUCGAAACAGAAAUGUAAGCAUGGAGAAGAGAGAAGAGGGGAGCCUAUAAUUCCAACAUUUUAACGUUUAGAGAAAAUCAAACAAAAAAAAAAAUAAUGCAGUUUGUUAUCUCCAAUUCAUUUCAGAGAUCCAUUUCAGAGAAAGAAUAGUUAUAUAUGAAGGGGAGAAACAGAAAGAUAUCCAAAGAACCGUACCUGAUGCUCAGGAUAGACGAUCAGCUUCAAAUCUUCCCAAUGCUUCAGCUUCUUAACAAAAGCCUUCAAUGUCAAAAGCCACUCAACAGAGUGUGCUCCAAACACAAAGCUGAAGUGAACUUGGAGAUGAUGUGAGGCACUGAUUGGAAGAAAAGGCUCGUCGCAAUUAACGCAUUCCAAUAACUCCAAGUUUGGAGCAUCAAUUUGAGCAAAUGACAGGUUACUGCAGUCUUUAAAGACCAGCCUCUUAAGAGUCUGGCUCGAAAUCUUGAACUUCCCAUAGCUCAUGCAGUCAUGUAAUUCUAAUGUCUCAAUGAACGGAAGCUGAGAUAAUACGGUUGAUAAGACAUCGAUGCAUGCGCUACUCUUUCCAUUAAAUAUCACUUCCUUCAAGGCUGGAUUACAAGUUGCCCAAUCAAUAGUUUUAGGCCAGCCACUUUGGGGUGCUCCAAAAUAGAAUUUCUGCAGAUUAGCCGCAUCCAUUCUGAUAAUGUCAACAAUAGCACAGUUCACACACUCAAAAUACUCCAGUCGAGGUAAAUUUGGGAUAGAGAGGAGCUUGUCUAUUUUGCAGGACCACAUUUUCACACACUCAAUCACAGGACAUCCGCAGAGAAACCUUUCAAAUAAAGAUCUACCCACGAAACAAGAGUCACGGAAAGAAAGCCUCUGUAGCUGGGGAAGUUUAAUCUCCAAACUACUCUCAAAUGCACAAUAACUCAAGCUCAACACUUUUAAACAGCUAGCAAGUACAAGAAAUUGAGGAACACUGUAAUAAGACCGAGCAGAGCGACCGCUACUGCCAUUAUAAGAAGACCGAGCAGAGAGACCUCUAAUGCGAUUAUAAUGAGACCAAGCAGAGUGAGCACUAGUGCGAUUUAAAGUGUCAACGCAAAGAAGAAGAUCUUUAAUAUUCUUCUUCAAUACAAGAGAAAUCCAUCCAUCUAGUCUUGGAGCCAACAGAUUUAUAUCAGGGAAGUCUAUAUGUAGAUCAACUCUGAGUACAUUAGACUCCAUUUCGAGGCAUUCUCGAACGGAUUCUUCUAUCAUAAACAGGAAAUCGAGAUGUUCGCGUUCAACUUGUUGACUAAACCUUUCAUCAGGAAGACCAUGUCCGAAUAAAUCUUCCGAAUCCGACUUUUCGUAAGUAAAAUGCAAGGUAAUGUAGGAAUAAAUGGCGGAGAUGCAAUACCAAGCCUUGGACAGGAUAGAGGUGCGAGCAACAUCUCGAGCAGAUAGAAACGAGCAAAUAUGAUGGAUCAUCGAUUCAGGCAACCGGGAGAAGUUGCCAAGGCUCACAUCAUCCAGAGUUGUUCUUGUUUGCACCUCGUUUCCUAUCAAAAACCAGCAAAAAUGAUAGAUACAUAUUUCAACAAUUAAUACUAGGUCCAAGAAAUAGGGUCACGUUUUAAGAUUUCACUAGGUUCCUAGUGAGUACCUGAUUCCAUGAUGGACAGAUAUCAAUAGAAACUUCAGCCACUCAAACCUCCUGCAUCAGUAAGAAUAACUUUAAGUGAAAAAAAAUAUGAAUUAAUUUUAUAUACAUUAACAGUAUAUAUGCUAUCCAGUUUCAAUGUUAUUUUAUUUCAUGCGUUCCGUCCAAUAUAUGUUUCGGAAGUUAAUAAAAAGUUAUUUGAUUACAUCCUUUAGUUAUUUUGACUGAAAAAAGAAAAGAAAUUUUAAAAAUAAAAAUUAAUUCUGCCCUUCAUUUUGCGACAAACACCAAGGCCUCCGUUAACGGUUAUUUGGAAAAAAGAAAAAAAACCGGUUCCGCGAGGGCAAAGCUGGCAUAUUAACAAGUUUAAACCAACGACUUUCUUUCCCGCGAGUUUUCUUAGGAACGCAAACUAAAUCAUCAACGACUUUCAUUCCCGCGUUUUCUUAGGAACGGCAAAAUAAAUUAGUAUUGUUUUUUUCUGUAUAGAAGGAUUUCUUCCUCUCAAUUCUUCUCCAGUGAUACUCCCAGUUCCCAAACUGACACAACAACUCCUAUUGGAGCAUUUAGAGAUUAUAGCAUAAUGACAAGAAAAAAAAGAAAUUGGAGGAAAAAAAAUUAAAGACAUGGAAAGAGCAAAAUUUGGCUUUGGCAUGUGGUUGAAGAAUGAAUGAGAGGAAGUGUUUAUCAAAAUCAUGAUCCUAGGAGAAAAGGGUUGGGAGUUUUUGAGGCAAGGGGUUGUUCUUUUUGUGGGGGAGGAACAAUUAAUCUUAAAUCAAACUUGAACAUAAAAAACAGAUGCAGAAAUAUAGAAAAAGAACACAAGAAACUACCAUUUGUAACAAUUUGAAACAGAUUUAGAGUAAUUCUAACACAUGCAAGUUCGGCAAUUAUGAAACUUGCAGUUUGUUGGAUCAAAGGAAUUUAAAGAAAUAAUCCAAGAAUUUUGUGAUCCAAAUUACACAAAUAUGUUGGAAAUAUCAAUUCUAAUGCUAUAAACUUAAGAUUGAAUUGAACCAUACAUUAAAUUACAUGCAUGUUGAAGCUUCUAUGAUCAGCUUCUCUCAAAUGCUUCUAUGAUCAAUUCUAAUGCAAGUUCCCAUUGGAAUUGUUUAUGGAUUAAUUUCUGUAAUUAAAAACAAGUUUUCCAAUCCGAAUCAAGAUGAUCAACAUAUAGUUAGCUGCAAACUACGUUAUGACCUUAGGUUGCAUUUGGUCGUGGAUUAAUUUCUGUAAUAAAAACCAAAAGUUUUCUAAAUCCAGAUGAAGAAGAGAAUACCUGCAAGAACUGAUGUGGUGACCAGAGGAAGCGGUGGGUGGCCCAAGAGAGGAGGUGUGAAUUGUCUUUCUGAUCAGAUGGGAGAAAUUAGAGGAGGAGAGAAUAUGCAGUGAGAGUGAAAGCUUUAGAAAUAUACUUGAAAGUUUACAAAUUACAUUCUGAAUUUGAUUGAUUGAUCACGACAACUUUUUAUUUCUUUGGCAAAAAUCUGAGAGGUGUGAAGAGCAGCAGAAAUUGAAGAAAAAUUGUGCUAACUUUUUCUUUGUAUUUCAGGGUGUAAAAGGUUGAUGGCUUUGGACUUUUCUUUCACCAUGCAGUAAUGCACAGCCAACUUUGUUUAAAGUCCUAUCUAGAAACUUUAACGGUUACUUGCUGCAAAUAUUUUUUUGAGUCCUGAUUUCUAGUUUUCUUCUUUUGUUUCCCUUUUCUUCUUUUGGUCACCUAUUCUUUUUCCUUAUAAAUUAGAAAUGGUUUGUGCAAAAAAAAAUUUCUUGGUCCACUAAUAUAUAUAUAUAUAUUUUUUUUUACAAUUUCACGUAAAUUGCUUCUUAAGAAGAAGCCAUGCCCAAAGAACUAAAAAGGUCAUUGUGUAGAUGUUUGUGUGAUUUGUGAGUGCUUUUAUCUGGUGGUGUUUGAUGGUUACUCUAGUCAGAUUAUGCUGAGAGUCAAAUUAGUUUCAUGAAGGUAAAGAGAAAAGCAAACUCUUGAAAAAGACAAUUUAACCAUUGAAACUAUCUGUAUCCAAUCUAAUCUGCGUAUAUCGAUAUACCCUCUUUAGAACUAUAUGAUUUGUAUCCAAUCUAAUCUAUGUAUAUCGAUAUACCCUCUUUAACCAUUGAAACUAUCUGUAUUUCAAUCCAAUCUGUGUAUAUCUAUAUAGUUUCUCCCCUUUUCAAGUGACACCAUUAUUUGGCUCUUAGUUUUUUGUUAUUUCCAUGAUACCCUCACUUCUCAUAUCCAAGUUCAUAUGUUUUAAUUGGGAUAAUAAUUACUAAAAUGAAACUGUCCUCUUCUAAAGUUCAUUGCACCAUAUUAUAAGACAAAAAUGAAAAAGGAGAAACAAAAAAGGCCAUUGCAAUGAGAGACAUCUUAAGACACUUAAAGAUAGACUUCAAAAAAUCCUAUGAUCCCUUUUGGGUACCAUUUCUUUAGUUUGUAUCUCUCAUUAAAUAAAAUAAUUUAAAUAUUUAACCAUGCUUAAUUUAAUGGUCUAUAACACUUUUGUCAUCAUCCAACGGGAAACUUCACUCGUGAGUGUGAUACCCAAAAGACACCGUAGAAUCUCCAAAAAAUUGCAACUCAUUUAUAUUUAUUGAUUAUUAAUUUGAUUUUUUUUAUUCGAAACGUAACAAUACUUGUUACUAGCUAGGAGUUAGGGCCCACAAUAAAGAAUAGAAUGACAAAAGCAGUGAUGAAAGCAUUAUCCCACAUCGGAACACACAAGAGACGGCAAACCUUGUAACGCAUACUUAAAUGUUUAUGGAAGCUACUGGGAAACAUACUUACCUGGACGGGGUCAAUGGGUGAUCAAGAAGGCCCAUAGCCUAGGUUGGUGACCUCCAUUGCACUUAGGAGGGGUGCCCGCCUAAGGUCAGCCCAAGUUGGUUGAGCCUACGUCAUAAUUUGUUAUGGUGGGGGCCUGCGUUCGCGCGGCCCCUGUCCAAUUCUUAAUUGUAAACCAUUUUCCUGUAACUGUGUGGGCUUUGAGGCUCUUAAUUGCCGGAUGCUCCCUCCUAAAAAAUCCUUCUAUUAAAUGGAGUAUGACUAAUACAUUAAAUACAGCGAUUAAUUAGCUUUACAACAAAUGAAUUACAUUAAAUGGAGUGUAACUACUUAGCUUUACAAUAAAUAAAUUAGGUUAUAUUCAAUAAUAACUUACAGUAAAUAAGGGCAUUUUAGAGAAAUUACAAAUUAACUACAUAUACAUUCAUAAUUGGAAAGUGGACUACAAUUUAAGAUAGAUGAAGAAGGAAAACAAGUUUAUAAAACAAGUCUGGGGCAUUUUAGAGAAAUUACAAAUUAAAUAUAUCAACAUUUUUCAAUUGAAGAUUGGAUUAUAAUUUGAGAUGGCUGUAAAAAAAAAAAAAAAAAAACUGUCAAAAUGGUACGGAGGCAGUAUAAAUAUCAAUUUCUUGUUGGAAGAAAUUAUGUGAGUUUCAAUGUCGGACUCGGAGAGCACACAUAGAAGGCAGCUUUAACAAGAAAAAACCAAUGUCAUUAUUCUAUUUUGUCAAUUAUUCAAUCAAGUAACAAUCUAUGUGCCAUAACUUAUUCAAUAUGAUUUCAUCAAGGCAAUGAUAUAUUAAAUAAAAAAAAAAUCAAAAUAUGCUGGUAAUGUAAAGACCUUUGUUUCUUUGCAUGGUAGAGUUAAAGUUUAGGAAUAAUCAAUCCCCUUCUGAUGCUUACUGGAGAUCCCAAAGAGAAUGCAUGUGGUACCUUUUUAACACUCGGAUCACGUAAUGAUGAGACAGAAUAUGGUAAAGGUUUGAAAUCCAUUGGUCCUUAAUACAAACUACAAGAAACGCAGGUCCCAUUUAAAUUGAAUAGCUACAAAUGUAGAAAUAAUCACGCCCAUGACAUCCAACCCCUAAUAAAGGUCUCAGCGGCUCUGGUGGAUUCUCAAAUCUUUCAUUUAAGUUAUGAAGGAGUUGGUGGAUGGAAUCACGACUAAGAUGAAGAAGGAACUGUUCUUAAAUGAAGUGGAUAUGCAUCGUAGUCCAUCAUUUGGUCCAGUUCCAGCCUUCAAAUUCAAUUAGUAGGCAAUCAGGCACCCAGCAUUAAUCAAUCCAACUCCAAAAUAAAAUAGGAUCAAAAGGCAUUCGAACUCAGAAUUAACUUAAUUCAUACUUACCUCUAAAACAUGUCAAUCGAAUAUUUUGUGAUUUAGAUCUAAAUCAGAUUUUACCUAGAGCCACGUAUAUAUAUAUAUAUAAUAAUCAAAUAUCCUAUGGCAAUUGGAUCGAAUAUAGGAAGAAUUCAUAACUAUUAGAUUAAAUAAUAUGCUCUUAAUCUAAGAAAACACCAUCUAAUCUCACCUAUCUAUUGCGCGCCUCUCGCCUUUGACUCCCACUCUAUCUCAUUUCAACUUAUUGAAUGUUAAUUUCAUUAUUUAAAAACAAAAAUUAGAUGGCAUUUAUGUUAUUUUUGAACUGUAUAUAUUUUUAAAAUAUUUUUGCUUUAGUUCUUUACUGUAUGUUUAGAAAAAUACCUACAGAUACCCAUUAGAUACCUAAACCCAUGAGGAUUUGGGUUCGAAUUUAUUUUUCAAACCUAUAAGGAUUUCAAAAUUUGGGUUUGAGUGUAACUAAAUUUAAUAUGUUUGGAUUUGGAUCAAAGGGAUCCAAUCCAAAUCCUACCUAUUGAUAUGCCUAUCCCCCUCCUUGUGUUUGAACUGACAUAAUGGCUUAAUAUCUUGAACUUUUUUGACUAAUAAUUUUCUGACCUUUGAUUACGUAAAAGUGGCCAAUAUUUUGUGAACGAAGACCCGAUUUAGCCAGGCUCGUCUACUCCGGCAAGUUGAAUAUCCACUGAAAAUCAAUAGCAUUUGAUAGCAAAAGGGAAAUCAACUGGAAAGCAAGUCGAUGGAAAGGGAUACAAGUUUACAAUAGCCAGCCAUGCAAGUUGCCACCCAAACAAAUGACGAGAAUGGUUCCAAAAUGAUCAAGAAUCCAUGUAACAUCACAUCACAACACAAGAAAACGACUCCCAAACCGAAAACCACAUGGUGUGGUUGCAUCAGAACUUUCACCUAUUGUGGUAGCUAUGGACUGCGGUCUUGUUUUGAAUAAUCUAAAUAGAGAUCAAAAUAUACAGUGUAAUCCUCGAGAAACAGACAUUAUUGUGAUGUAGGCCAGAGCCAGUGGCUGUUACAUUCUUGUUCGGUCUAUUAAGCUAUAGUGAUUAUCAAAUCAACAAUUACUACUUUUUGUGUCGAUGGAACAUGCAUGAAAAAGUUGCAGAAACGCAUCAGUAACAUGGCAAGUCGCAAUCGCUUAUACAAGGGAGACAGAAUCCACAUAUUUUCUUCCCUUCAAUCCUCAGUUUUCAGUAGGGUCCAAAGUUUCUUCACGUGAUCGUUAGAAAUUUGUUCCAAGGAUUGAUGAGAGCAGCGUUACCUGUUACGUAUGUUUGAAAGUUCUAAGCUUACACUUUUUUUUUUUUUUUGGAAGAACUUUGAUGAAUUAAUCUUUAUUACAUCAACUGUUGAUACAUGUUUUAGGUUAAUUAAUGUAUACAUGAGAUUCACUGGUGUACAAUUUAUCAGUAUAUCAAAAAUUAGUACAAUUAUCAUUUGCCUAAAAUUAGUUAUCACAAAUCUUCCAUAAUUUUAAACCCUUUUUUGAAAUAAAUAAACAUCGACACUAAAUACUGUGCAUUGUCGUGCUGACAUUCCGUUGCUAAUUUGAUAAAAAUAAGGACUCGAUCUAAGCUCUUCAACGUUUUGAAUAUCACUCUUAAUCUAUUAGUAUAAUAUAAAUGUACAAUUCAUAUAAAUAAUAGAAUCCAAGUUAUUUGAGAUUCUAGUUUUAUCAGUAUUAAAUCCUAAUUGAAUUUUAAUUCCAAGAAACAGCUAUAUAUAGCCUUAGCAUUUAUCCGGGCUGACACCAAUUAGUUUCUUGGCCAAAUCAUAACUGAUGCGCGUCUCUUGCUGCUGUAUACUACCAAUGAUGGAAAUUGAGUCUGAAGGAGCGAAAGCGAAGCAGAACUUGCCCCUGGAAUCAACUGGGAUUAGGCAAUUUUUCGACUUCAACAACCACGUUUUCCCACCCGAAAAAUGAAACGACACAGUUGGAACCUCCACUUCAUCAGGGAUAGAGGACAAAUCAUAACAUGUAUCAAACAGAGAAUAACCACUCGUGGGAUGUAGGUUCUUAGCAUGCUUAGCGAAAGUGUCACGCAGGGACUCGUAUGCCGGAGGCACUGGUCGAGUCACUAUUGUUCCCGAGUCAACCAUAACUCCCCCGGUUCCGUCACUUCCAACCUGAAAAACCGAGGGUUGAAUCGGCAAUUUUGCUCCAGCGACACUAAUUCCCACGAGAUCUACAUAAAAGUAUAUAUCGAAUUUCGGGUUAUAAACCAUUGGAAUAAUGAUUGAGCCACUAGGUGGAGUUGAGUUGAACUCGAGAGUUGAAGAUGAAUGGGAGUCCAUAUCCACGAGACAAUACGAAAACGACGUGGCUUUAAUUUGUGAAGGAAAUGACAGCGAUCCAACUCCUAACCCGAUUAAACCGGCUGAUCCAGAAAAUAACCCCUCAUUAUCAUGCCCGCAUCCGACAGCAACAUUGCUAACUGAACCGGACCUCCCAAACGUCACCGUUUCCGUGCCAAAGUCCCCAUGCGUAAAUGACCCAUCCCCAUAAGACACGUAAUAAUGACACAUGUCAUCAGUGCAACCGUUGAUUUUAAGGGAAUUACACUCUCGGGAAGAGCAUGAUAGGGUAUUAAAAGUGGAUGAUCCGGACGGGUUAAAAAUCGGGUCGGACUGUUGGUAACAAAAGUCACAAGGCUGGCACUGGAGCCAGCUAACGUCGCUUCCAGUGUCUAUGGACAUGAAGAAUUCUUUAACGGGUCGGCCCAACCCGACCCUGGCUAAGUACUCAAAGGUUCCCUGGCUUUCCCCUGAGGUUACUGGGGAUUGCAGGUCCUCGGGUUGGAUGAGCCUUUGAUGAACGGUUUGAGAAAUAGAGAGUUGAAGCUUGUGGUUGAUGGAGUUGACUCGAGCUGAGUCGUAGGCUAGUCGGGAUAUUGUGAGUGCAGAAUAGUUUUGGUGGUGGGGUUUCACCACAGAAAUGCGUGGAUGGAGAGAAACUGAGAAUACGGAUGAAUUAGCAGCGGAGGCGGCGGCGGUAAUGGUGGGGGACGGAGGAGUCGUUUUUGAGAAGACUUGAAGAGUUUUAUGAAUGGACGCAGCCACGUUAAGGACUUGAAACUGUUGGUUUUCUUCUUGUUUUUGAGGAAGAGAAUAAACAAGAGACGAGUGGCAGAUGGAGAAGAGGAUUAAAAUGAAGAAGAGGAAGAAGAACAAGGCAUUGAAAGUGGAGGGUGUUUUAGUUGGAGCCAUUGUGGGUUUGUGGGGGGGAGGUUUCUGGUUUCCUUGGGACAGAAUGCACAGGAGGGAAGCAAUGAGAAAUGGACUUGCUUUAUAGGCAACUAGACAUGCAUGUAUGAUAAUUCACAAUAUGCAAGUAAAGCACAAGAAUAGUAAGGCACUGGCCUCUGGAGCAAAACAAAUUAUUGCAUGGCUCCUGUAAAAUUUCUAUCCUGAUAGUGGUAGUAGUAAAAUUCUUGUAUGAUAUGUCAAAAUAUCCUUUAUAAACAGACAUAAGCGACAGAUGCAAAAGAUUCACAUGCCGCAGACAUCCAACCUAAAAGUAACCACAUUAGGGGCAAUCAGGGACCAAAGUUGGUGAGGUACAAAGCAAAAUUUGGAAUGGUGCCUCAUCUAAGGUCUAGACAAAACCUAAAUGAAUUACAGCCCAUGCCACAACUUGUGUGUUAUUAGGCGCCAACUUAGAGCUGAUUGUGAAGGUCCAACUACUUGAGUUGAUGGUGCCGUAGCACAAUAACUGUUAGGAUGGACAAAAUAUAUGACAAGUAUUUGUACUUAUGGAGCAAAGCAUGCCUUACUGCAGCUAAUCCCCAAAUGUUAAAACUGUUUCUUUUCAAGAAAUUUCCAAUUUGAUGAUGAAUUUUAAAAAGUUUCUGCAAAAGGAGUAUUUUAAGUGUAGACUUUCGUCAAGGGUCUUCACAAUUGUAAAAUGUAAACUGAAUGAAUUCGCAUUUGACAAAUGCGAUGUCCCCUAGAAUUUUCAAUCCACAAAAAGGAAAAAAAAAAAAAGAAUUACUUCAGACCUCGCAUUUGGCAAAUGCGAGGUCAAGUAACCUCGCAUUUAACCUAUGCGAGGCAGGAACCCUUUAUAUUUCAAUCCAAGGCUCAUGCGUUUCUUUUCUUUUCUUUUCUUUUUUGCAAAAUUAAGCAGGCUGUUUUUUUCAGAGUGUGGAUUUUGUUUUUUGUUUUGUAAAAUUAUGGAGGACGAAUUUGUAGGUUAUUAAGCGAUUGCCAAAAAAAAUCCAUUAAUCUUGAGUUUCACGUUAAAACCAUACUGAAUGAUUAUUGAUGUAAUCAAGAGUAAAUCAUUAUUUUAGCAUUUAUGCAAUGUUUAAAGAAGAUAUUAACUAAGCACUAAUAUUACUUAAUUGGACAGAUGCUUCCACAUACUUCAGUAAUUCAACAAAAUUGGUACCCCAAAUGCCAUAAACAAGCUCAAUAGCUCCUCUUAUCAUACCAAGCUUUCUUAAAAGAAAUUUCGGAGUUCAAAUUUUCCUUCAUGGAGGAUUUUUUUUUUUUAAACUUUGAACUAGGUAUCAUCCUCAAUAUCGCAUAAAAUACGACUAACAAUCACUGAAGAAGUCAUUGCUUUUCUUAUCAAUCUUCACUAAAUUGUUUUCUUUUUCCACGGUUAAACAGAAAGGGACAUUCUCUCUCUCUCUCUCUCUCUCUCUCUCUCUGCUUUUUUUUUUUUUAAUGGCAAACUCCAUUCAUAGAUGAGGGAUGCUAACCUUUUAUUUUAUUAAACCAUAAAGUAAAUAAACAUUACAAGAGUUUGGAAUGAGAAUACGUGACCUGAAUAUAAUCAUGACAACUACUACGAAAUGGCUAGCUAAAAAGAAUCUAUGUAAACACAUAUGUACCAUCUAAUAGCACGCUUUCUGAAAGAAGUCAUCUAUGCUCUAUCUAAAGAAAAUGAUCAUCGAGCUAGAGCUAGAAGAGAGUCCAAGGAAGUGUGUAUCAGCUAUGAGAAGAUUUUUUUUUUUUUACGUAAAAAGGGAUUUUAUUGAAUAGAACAUGAAUGUACACAAGAGCAGAGGAAUCUGCAACACAAAAGUACUUCUACAACCAAUUAAGCAAUACAAUAGUACUACUACAAUGAACUAAACUCCAAUUAAGCAGACUAUAGAGCCUCUUGUGCAUGAAUAGUUUUGGCAGAGAUAUCCCAGAAUUCUUUCUUAUUUAACUCUUUUAAUGCCGUCUUUACCUCUUUCAGUUUCAAACAGAAAGUCCUCAUAGGGUCACCUUGAAAUUCAGUACGCCAUGCCUUAUGAAGUAGCCGAGGGAAAUCAUUGUGAGACAUCCAAAAUCCAUGAAAUUUGAAAGGCUUAGCUAUGAGAAGCCCUCUUAGAUAAAUGAUCCGUGACAUGAUUAGCUCCCGGAAACAAUGUGAAAUUGAUAUAAAUGCUUGGGAGAGUUGCCGUUGCUCCUCCAUCUCCAACAAUAUGGAUAUGACAACUUGCUAAGCAGAGUGUUAACCAAAGCGAGUCAAGCUGUAUGUGGAACCUGCUAUAAGUUCUGUUCAAACAUUGAUGUACACAAAACAACACAGCCUUGAUCAAUUUCCUGAUAUAUGUACAGGAAGUGAUCAGCUCAAUUAUCUCAAAAACCAACAUAAACUUCCACCUACAAGCCUUGUGAAAUUUCUGAUCAAGUUAAUAUAUUUCUAGAUGCUUAUCCAACCAUAAAUUCCUUAAUAAGGAAAAGUCAAACACUUUAAGCAUACAAUUUACAAUCACUUGCUUCAAACACCAGAAAAUUCAUGACAGCUAUAAGAAAUAAACUCUUCAAUUUGGUUCAAGAAUUUUGGAUUGGACUGGCGUCCAUGAUGUACCAAGAUCAUUUUAACCCCUGUUGCUAAGGUAACAUAAAGCAAGGCAUUCUGCAAUAAUUUAACUAGGUGGCAGAAUUAAAAGGCUAACUACGCAAGUGAGACCAAAAAUGAAUAGAAUGCUAAGAAGUCCAAGAGGUUAAGUUCGUUUCUAGCAUAUUCUCCAUAUGCUAAGAAGUCCUAGAGGUUAAGUUGGUUUCUAGAAUAUUCUCCAUAUGCCAUCGUCAACAACUAGAAAUUAUGCCACUGUUUCUUUUGCUUUUUAGAAACUAAUAUGCCAUUGUCAAACUCAAACUUCACGGCAUUAGAAUUUCUUCAAAAAAGUGACCCUUAUACAGGUUGUAUGCCCCAAUCCCCAACUCUUGCUUCUACCAAGCUUGCAAUUUUUUCCAUGGCUGAUUGUAUGAACAGACUUAAAAAAUAAAAAUAAAAACAGAGGAGUUGUACAGUCCGGAAUGGGUAUAUUCAUUCUAGCUCCUCAACCAAGAAAAAUUCACAGUUGCCCUCACAAUUAACUAAGAUUGGGAUCAAAACUUCCAUGCAUUCAUAAGCCUACAUGCAAGUACAAAAUAUUUAGUUUCUUCAAAAUCUAAUCAUAUUAGAUGGACCCUACUGACUAUACUCAAUUAUCAGAUUUAAGAUGGAAGAAGGUUGAAUGUUGCAGAAAGAAAGACCACUGUGCCAGCAGUGUGUCUUGAAAUAGCAAAUGGACUGGGUGCCUCAAGGUUUCUAGCCAUGCAAAACAGUUAUUUAGGUGUAUCACCUAAGCGAGCCUCAUUAUGCAAAUGUUGAUGAUCUAGAAUUGUUAACAGUGAUAACUCAGAAUUGUAAGACUAGAUAUAUGGUGCAAGGACCUACAGGUUUUUCCUGCAUCUCAAAACUAUACAUAGUUUCUCAAUAAGAAGCAAAACUUCAAAACAAGUAGCUAAUACAUACCACUACUUAAAAAGGAAAAACAAAUUGCAUCGUUUAAUAGUAAGUAGCUAAUAGCAGUUUUUUUUGUUGGGGGGAGGGGGGGGGGGGAGGGGGUUACAAAAGCAUGAACUAGAACCUGAAAACCUUACUGGUCUGGUAGCAUUACAACCCAUCAAGGUACUGAAGAAACAGCAAUACAACAAAACUAAAAGAUGGACAACUUAACUUAGCCACUAGAAUGCCACAAACAGACUAUUCACUAAGAGAAUCCUAAUUGAUUCAGCAUAUUUUAAGCAUUAACCGUAUAUUAAGCAGCCAGCUAGUAAACUUUCAAAAUUGCCAAGUUAUAAAUAGCAAUGCCAAUACCGUGGAUGCUAAUUACGAAAUCCAACUUACUGGUAUCAGGCAAAAAUGCCAAAUGGCUGGUCACAUGAACACUAGAACCAAGUCAAAGUUAUCGGUAACUCAAAAGAAAAUGAUGCAGGACUAGCUGUGAAGUUAUAUGCAAAUACCACUAAUUUUAUCUACAUCUGUCUCUGUGGUUUUCUUUCUGCAUUUUACUCUGGCUCUGGGGUGCAGUGGGUCAUUUGACCCAAGGAUUUCCCCUCCCAGAAGAUAUUUCCUCAGCCUCGACAGAAAAAAAUGGAAAAAGCAGCACAACCCACAUGAUAUUUACAUCCAAAUUUGACAUCAAAUCUGAACUUUACAUCGGAUUAAAGUAUUAAAUAAAUAUAAAACGCAUAAAAAUCAGGCUUUGCAACAAAAGUUCAUACCUUUUAUGCUGUUUGUGAGCUACAGAGCACAGCCACGAAUUUGAAAGCCAUUUGCGAAGGGAAAAGAAAAUGUGCAGCGCAAAGGGUCACAAAAUUGGUUGGGGAUGACUGCUGAGGCAGAAAUGGCAGCUGGUUGGCGUGCAAAUGGCGUCUGGUGGAAGCUCAAAAAUGGUGGACAACAACCGACGAGAAAGAAAGAGAUUGAGGGAUUUUGGGCAAUUUCCUCUUGGAAGCUUGGACUGGUGUCUAGCUAAGCAAAAGACGAGAGAGUGAGCUGGAUGUGCAAAGUUUCGUUCCAAUUUCUGCCCCUCUGCUUAUGGAUUUGAAUGCCGAAUGUUUGAUGUAAAGAACGGAGCUCUGUUUUUGGGUUUAGGUGAAAGAGACUGAGAAAUGCGAGGUAUUUUUUUUUUUUUUUUAAAUGUAUCCUAGCUCGCAUUCGACAAAUGCGAGAAUGCGAGCUAUGUAAGUUCGCAUUCAAUGAAUGCGAACAACCUCGUUUUAGAAAUGCCUUCGCCGAUAACCUUGCCUGUAGAAACUCUUCUUUUUUUUUCAUCAUAAUUCAAGAAUUUAUUCUUUCUUUUCAGCCAUCAAUACCAACACAUACCACUUUGAAAUGAAGAAUUGUACGUGCUUAUAUCUAAAUAGUUGAUACAAGUCAAAUAUGAAACAUCAAAAAAAAAAGAAAAAGAUAGUAUGAAAAGUGAUGUACCAAUCCAGAAAACUUAAAUACACAAGUUAAAGAUGAAACAUCAAAACAAGCUGAAAAAUGAAGUUCAAAUCCCAGAAAUUCUAAGCCAAAGUUUUGGACUACAGUAUAAACCUUUGUUGGGAAGCAUCAUACUUCCACAAGAAUGUUAUUUUAGAAGCCUUGCUGCCAGGACUCGAGUGUUUCACAUUAAAGACUUCUGCGCUUGGAUCCGGUGGAUAGUCAACUGCUUCAGAGGUAUCCAGCUCGCAACUGAUUAGCCUCUGGUCUUUGCCCGGACUACUGCUAAGUUCCCUGGCCUUUUCUAGUACAAACUGACAUGUAGGUAAGAAAAUGAUCAGCAAAGGAAGGUUAGUACAAAGGUCGAGCUAAUCUGAGGAAAUAUGCGACGCAAUGAAACAAUUUUUUUUUUAGUGUGUACAAAAGUUAUUUAAUUUGCAUGCUACAAAUCAUACGUUCACAUGAAUACAUCGAUAAAGAGGGCAUCACUAAUCUAAAUUUAUAUAUUAAAAGGUAAGAACAGCUUACCCUACUCAGUCUGUCAUGAAUAGCCAUGUCCUGCACAAGAAUAAUUCCAUUAGGAAGUAUAGUUUGAAAAGAAAAAUUAAAGGGGAGAUUAUAGAUUCAAAAGAAUAUUUAAUGAGCUAGAUGAUGGAUAGAAGACCAAACCUUGAUUGGCAGCUCAUCCGUAAUCUUCAUCUGCAAAAGAAUUGAAACUCAGGAACCCAUGCAUAGAGAAGAGAGAAAAGGGAGGGGGUAAGAUUUUUACGUCCAUUGUCGAAUAGCAUCACAUACAACUCUCAAACCAAGUAAAGCAACAAAAACAUAUUCACGGAACCUUAGCUAAGUGGUUAAGAAAGAAGUGUAGUACCUGAUGUUCAGGAUAGACGAUCAGUUUCAAAUCUUCCCAAUGCUCUAACGUCCUGUGAAAAUACUUCAAUCGCAAAAGCCACUCAAUUGAAUGUCCUCUAAAGAACAAACUAAAGUGAAUCUGAAGUUUGUUCGAGGCAUUGCAAGGAAGAAAAGGUUUAUCGCAGUUGUUGAAUUCAAGCAACUCUAACUUUGGAGCAUCAAGUUGAGUAGCUGACAUGUGACUGCAAUCUCUAAAGAUCAAUCUCUUGAGAUUUUGGUUUGAGAUCUUGAAACCCGCAUAACUUUUGCAGCCGCGUAUAUCCAAUGUUUCAAGAAAGAGAAGCUGAGAUAUCGGUGUCUCUAACAUAUCUAUGUCAGCGGCACCAUUCGCAUAUAUCUUCAACUCCUUCAGUGCUGUAGCACAGGCUGUCCAGUCAAUGGUCAAUGGCCAAAGUUCUUUGACUUCUUUCAAUGUCGCAAAUGAGAAAGUACGAAGCUUAGCUGCAUUGAUUUGAAUAAUGUCAACCAUAUCACAGAACAAACACUCAAAAUCCUUCAAUUCAGGUAAGUUCGGGACAGAGAGAAGUUUGUCCAUCCAACUGCAGUAUGAUAUCUUCACAUACUCAACCAGUGGGCAUCCAAGGAGAAACCUUUCCAAUAGAGACUUAUCAUCAAAGCAGGAAUGACAUAAUGAAAGGCUCUGAAGCUGGGGAAGUUUGAUGUCCAAACAAGUCGUAAAUCUACAACCGCUCAAGCCCAAAAUUUUUAGCCACCUAGCUUCAACAACAAAUUGAGGUAUAGCAUAAUGGAGCCUUUGACGAUUCGAAAAAGCGUUAACGCGAUGACCAACAUCUUUACCACUGGUGAAGCAGUCAAUGCGAAGAACAAGCUCUGGCACAGACCUCAUCAUUGCAUAAUCAAUCCAUAGAUCCAAUCUUCGAGCCAGUGAGCCCAUCUUAGGGCAGUCAAUGUACAAUUGGAAUCUCUGUAUAUUUAAGUUUUCUAUAAAGCGCCGUCUGAUGAAUUUUCCUGCCAUUGACAGGAAAUCGCCUCUUCUGCUGCCACUGCCAGUACAGUCAAACGUUGGACCAGGAACCUCUGCACCACGUUCUUGAACCCAUCCUACUCCUUUUUCUUCUUGUUCUUCGACCUGGUCCGACGAAGUGCAGAUAAAAUGGUAGACAACAAAUGAAUAAAGGGUCCAGAUACGAUACCAGGACUUGGACAGGAUGGAGGUGCAGGCAACAUCUCGGGUAGGUAAAAACGAAUAGAUGUGAUGAAUGAUCGAAUCAGACAGCCGGGAGAAGUGAUUAAGGUUCGCAUCCUUCCGAGUUGUCUUAGGUUGCACCUCGUUCCCUGUCAAUGACCAACAAAAUGAAAUCAUUGAUAUUUCAUUAGUAGUCCGUGUCAAAGGGUACUGAUUGAAGAGCUUAGUGAAUUCGUAGAGACUACCUGGUUCCAUGAUGGACAAAUAUCAAAAGAAACCUUAGUAACACUUCCUGCAGUAGAAAGAAUAACGUUAGAAUAAGAUCUUCAAAAUUCAAGUUUAGAUAUACUUUUUUUUUUCUUCAAAAAAAAAAGCAAAAUUGAAAUUAAAGCGAGAAAAGUGUUCUAAAAAAAAUAAAAUUAUCCACAUCUAGUCGGAAUAGUAGUGUAGAAUGGCGCAAUCACGACUUGGAUAAUCAUGUAAACUUCAAAACUAUCUAUACUAUAUAUUAUAUAUAAAGGGAGAGCAUUGAAUUUGCAGUAAAUUUUUUUUUUGGGUCACUUUUUAGAUUUUUAACUUUUUACAAUCAUUGAAUUAUAACUUUACCAUCUAAUUACAUAUUACCAACCAAUGCAAUCACACUAAUUUUCACCCAUAACCAUUUACAAAUAUUGUAAUCACCAAAUUAAUUAAAAUUUCAUUCAAAAAAUUUUUAAAAGAUCAAAGUUUAUUUUUUUUGUUUAUAAAAAUUUUAUACUAAAUUAUUUCAUAUAAAAAAUGAUUGUUCCUAAAUUACACACUUCGGGUGUGCCCUUAUCACUAGUCAUUUUUCAAGAAUGUAAACUGAUUUUUUACAAUUAUUCAUGAUCAUUCAAAAAUGAGAAAAACUGCGUCAUUAGAUGUCAAUCUAUACCACUGUUCAUUUGUUGAGUUUGUUAAUUGUUCGUUACCCCUUCCCAUCUAAUCAAAAUUCAUCUAUUUGGGAAUUCUAGGAUAGAGAACAAAUUCAAGUCCCUUUCGUUAGUUUGGCAGUGAAAAGAAAAGAAGAAGUUACUCGAUUUUCCCUUUAUUUUGUUGCAUCAUAUUCCAAUAGUUCCGCAAGGGCAAAGUUGGGAAAUCCGCAAGUUUAAACUAACGAUCUUUUUUCCCGCAUUUUUCAAGGGCUCGACAAAAAUAAACAAAUAAAUUAUUUAUUCUCUGAUGACAAAGGAUCUUUAGAAAUCCCUCCAUUUCUCCUCUUCAAUUCUUGUGCAGCGAAACUCCCAAGACAACGACAACAUUUAGACCAGGGCAGGUACAGUUGCAGAUUACAGCAUGAUGACGGGAAAAAAUGGAGGAGGGAAAAAAAAUGGAACAAGUCAAACUUGGCUUAAAAAAAAGUGUUUGAAUAAUGAAACAGGAGUCUUGAUUUAGCAAAACCAUGAUCCUCUGCCAGGAUGAUCAACAUAACAGAUGAAGAUAAAUAGAUUCUAUAAGAAAUCAUGUGCAGAAACAAUCACAAACAGAUGAAGAUAAAUAGAUCCUAUGAAAAAAAUCAUGCGCAGAAAUGUAUUUCAAACAGUGGGAAUUGGAUUUCAAUCAAAAUCCAAUUAGGAUUUUGUCAUAUAAGUCUGUAACCCCUAAACAAUCAAGAUAAAUUCCUCAAAAUCAAUUCUAAUCUUACCAAAUGGGGAUGGCAUGCAGGGCAACCUAAGUACAAUCGAGGUGGAAUCUCAAAAAAUCAAGAAAUUCAACUGCAACAUUUGAAUAAAAUUGAGACAUUUGCUCCAAUCCAAUGUCAGACUGGGUAUUUUUUUUUUCUUUGUGAUUAAUCUCUUUCCUUAAGAAAAAUUUCCAUGUAGAAGAGGAUGAAUACCUGCAAACUUAUGACCAGCGGCAGCGGGGGGUUGGGCUCAGGGAGAUGUGAAUUGUUUGGGAAUGGGAGAAAGAGUAAAUGGUGCAUGAGUGGAUCCCUUAAAUACACUUGGAAGUCAAGACCAAAUUUAAUUACUCAUGCUAUUUUCAUUUUUUUUUCUCUAACAUGAAAUAAGUUAACAGUGGACGAAAUUGAUGAAAAAUAGUUCUAACUCGUGAUUUGUAUUCAGAGAUCCCGCAAAAAUGCCAGCAUAGGCUCACAAAUGUGUUACAGUGUGAAAAUUUUGAAGUCCUAUUUUCAGACUUUAACGGCUACUUCCCGACAAAUUGUUUUUUCUUUUUUUUUUUUAAAAUAAUGAGUCAUAUUAGAUCACUUGAUAGUCAAAAAUUCUUUAUCCGUUUAAUGAAUUUUUUUAUUUUGACAUUUGGCCUUGUCACUUUCAUGUAAAUUGCUUGUUGACUGUAAGCAAUGAUUAAAACUCUUAAUUAUGUUUGAAUUCUAAAUUGUAAUCCUGGCUUUUCAUUUUUUUUUUCUUCAAAAGAAAAAACAAUGCAUAAGUUUUUUUUUUUUUUGGGCAUAAGCUAUCUUUUGUUCACUUGUAAAUGAGAGGGUUACAAUGUUACAUGAUGAAUAUUGAUUUUGGGUGACAAUCUUUGACCUUCCAUUGAGCUUGCCAUGCUGUCUUUUUAUUGGAGGCCAACAACAAUCAGAUUUUGUUGAGUAACAUCUAUUCUUUUUCACCAUAUUACACUUGCACACCAUUUUUCCCAUUUUUUAUUUUAAAGCAAAGAUGGAUUUUUGGCAUAAAUUUUUUUUCGGUGUUUUCCCCAUGCACAUACGUUGUACAUGAAAAAAUGCUUGUGGUCAGUUUAGGUAGAGCUGAAAAUUUGGUGAGUGGGACUUUUAGAGGCCGUUUGGAUUGUUACUUUCUGGAAUUUUAUAAAAAAAAUAUAUUAUAAUAAUUUGAUAUAUAUGAGAUAAAAUGAAAAAAAAAUUUCGGGCAAAAAUGUAUUUUACAGGCUGUUCCCUUUCUCUGGGAGUUCUGAACCUGCCUUCAAAUCUAAUGGUGGCCUCCUUUUGGUUCAUACUUUGUCUCUCAUUUUCUUUUGUCAAAAUUGCUGAACAGCUUAGAGUUCUAGAGAAAUUUAUUCCAACUGGAAGAAAAUUACUUGGGUUUUGACGAAAAGGACAAUGGAAGGUAACAAAAAAUCUUCAAGCUUGUAUAUGCUGCAUCCCAGGUUUAUUUCGACAAAACGCAGGUUGAGUUACAUUCGACUGUUCUUCCUAGGUUUAUGCAAUUAAGCCGAAUCAUCAUUUUCUCUACAUUAUUUUGCAUUAAGCUGAAGUUGUAAUAGCAUAAUAGUCAGCAGGCACUCACAAGUUCAUGAGUAUCCUGGUUAGACUUUGAAAGUUUAAAGUUAUAUUUCGAAACGUUAACGGCUACUAUCAAAUUGAUUUUUCUUGCUCUUUUCGAGUUUUUAAAAAAAAAAAUUUACUUUUUUGGUUAAUAACUAAAAAUUCUUGACCCGUUCAAUGAAUUUUUAUGUUUUUGCCUUUUCAAUUUCAUGUAAAUUGCAUGUUGAAUUGAAGGAAUGCUCAGAGGAUCUAAUAGUGUUUGAAUCCCUAAUUCUUAUUCUAGUUUCAGUUUUUCUCAAAGUUCAUAAUUAUAUCCCUUGUUUUUGUGUGACGGUAUAUACGUGUGGAGAAAGAGUAUUUAUUUUUUGCGGCUUUUGUUGUUGCUGAAACUCUAAUUUCAACUUAAUAUGAUUUGUCUAUUAAUGCUCCUCCUGAGUGCAUAACAUGAACACAUAAUGUCCAAAAAGAUGCAACAACACACUAAUUAUAUAGUUGCAAGUGCCUUUAUCUGGUGGCAUUGGAUUUAGAAUUGAAUUUUCUUUGGACGUUACUUAGUUUUUAGCGGAAUUAAUAAGCCUCGUUGUUAGUCUAAUUUUCAUGCAAACACGUUCAAAUCCUAUUAGAGUUGGAUUUAACGUUCAAAAGGACGGCGAAGCACUUGAAAUCAUAUCUAAAAAGAAGAGUGCAUCACAAGGACAGCAAUGCGUGGAUUUAGAUUCAAAGAACGAUCCGACUUCAUCAUGCUAUGGCUAAGAGUUACUAGCGCCAUAUGUUCCUUAGUUUCCCACAUAAAAUCUGAAAUCUGAAGUAUGAAUUUAUUAAAUUAUUGAAUUGUUAAAUAUUAAAUUUAAUAUAUUUGAGUGCAUAUCACAUUCAGUGAUAAGUGAAUAACUUAUCACGUAAUUUUGAAAACAAAUUUUGCCUAAAAAAUUCAGUGUCAUUUAAUUAAUUCAGAUGUUCAAUUUUUUAUUAUCAAACAGUUUGAAUAUGUUAAAAUCUGAAUUCAUGAAAUUUAAGUGCUGAACUGAAUUAUCAAACAGGAACUACCUAGAGAUUAUAAGGGAAGCUAAAGAGGAGGAUAUCAUUAUUAGAGAAGUCAUUCCCAUUUUACUAUAAACAGGAAUGGUUACCACCAAUCUUAUAAGCGCUUUCAAGUAGGGGUGCAAACGAGUCGAGUCAAAUCGAGUCGAGUCUCCAGUUAAUUUCAUAAAACUCGAACUCGAGCUUAAAAAAUAUAAAAAAUAAUAAUUAUUUUAUUUUUAAAAAUGAAUAAAAUAAUAAUUUUUUUAACAAAUAAUAAAAUAUUAGGAAUAUAUAUGCAAUUUUACUAUUAAAAUAAAAAAUAAAAAAUAUAUAUAUAAUCGACCUCGCGAGCCAAAGAGUUUAAUGUUUUUGAACUUGAGCUCGAGCUCAAAUUCGACUCGAGUUCGAUAUUGACCGAGCUCGAGUCAACGUAUUCGAGCCUCUCGCGACCCGAUUGACCGAGCUCAAGUCGAACUCGUAUUCGAACCACUCGCGAUCGGCUCACGAGCGGCUCGAUUCGUGAACAGCCCUACUUGCAAGCACCUAAAGAUAGUCCCUCUUUAAUCAUCAUCUGUCAUCAAGUUAUCAGCAGUACAAUUCUAUAGAUUAAUCUUUUACAAAAGAAAAAAAAAAGUUAAAUCAUCAGUGUAUUGCAGAACAUACAUUUAAUAGUACAACACACCAAUGCAGUAAAUCAUGCAAUACUACUCAAGCCUAUAAUGUCACGCUGUGUCUGUAGACAUUAUACUUCCAGUUUAAUAUAAUUGUGGCAAUCUCGAACCGAGCAGUUGAGUGUGCUUGUAUGAAGUAUUCUGUGGCAGGAUCACUUGGAUGCUUUGCAUCUUUAGACAAAAUCACCUCAAAACCAACUAAUUUGUGGAGCAAAGUUGAGUCUUUUCUAAGAUCCUUCAUCUUCUGUGACAAUAUCUGAGAUGCACGUAAGGCAAAUACAUGACCAAACUGAUGCAAAAGCAAUUGGCAAAUUUGCAUAUAAGCAACACCAAAGGGUAAUGCAAGCUGACGUACCUCAAUCACUUUGGUGCUACAGUACAUGGCAAAUAACGAUUUAGGGCACACUGACGGAAACAAUUCAUCCAAAAGAUCCUUGUAGCUCUUCGAUGAUAUGCAUAUACAUUUCGGACGCAUUAAAUGGCAGAGAGAAGAAAAGCGGAUCUCACUCAGUUUUUCGUGAAUAAUCAUGUUCUGCAGAAGCAUUAAGAGUUAAACAUGUCAAGAAUAAAUAAGAGAAACAAUCCAGAAAAAAUGCACAAAUUGGAUAACAAAUAGGGUAUCAUAUGCAUCAAAAAAUAAGCUCCGCCUUGAUUUUCAUUGCAUAUUCCAGAUUAAUUUAUUCAAUUGCCUUCUUACACAAAUAGGAGGGCCAAUUAACACAUACAAGAUACCAAUUUGUUUGUUUUACAUGAGUUUCUCUUAUUAGGAAUAUGAAACCUAUGAGCUUCAUAAAAUUUAAUGGACGGUAGGUUAAGUUCCCAUUUUCCAUUUUUUCUGUAUUUUGAUGAAAUUCUCCAAUGAAUUUCUCAAUAAUUCUGCAGUUGAACGCACUUGUAACGCUGCCUAACAUAAUUCUGAAGGAGUAUUAAUUGUUUCCAGGAGUCAGCCUACUGAUGCAAGAUGACCACAAUGGUCCCUACUUAAAAAUUGCCUUUAAGGAACUAAGCAUCAAGUUGAAAAAUCGAGAUCAAAGACAAUAAACUAGGAAUAAUUUAAUGUUUCAAAAAGGACACAUUUGUCUGAAGUUCAAGUCUAAGAAUGUUAAAGGUGAAUAACAUACUUUUCUCAUCUGUACAGAUGGAUUCAAGGCAAUUAGAAAGUACAUAGCAGUAUGUAUUCAUCUUUUUUCUUUUGCAUCCAAGAGAGACUCAAAUACUACCAAACUGGUAUAACAUAUCUGUUAUGCAGAGAUCCAUGCCGGAACAUGUGACUGGAGGUAUCUGAUCUCCAGAAACCUAUGAAAAUAGGCUCCAAAAAUGAAAAUGCAAUAUGCCCUUAAAAGCAUAGCUGUGCACAUGCACUUCUUCAUUCUCAAGAAGUCAAUAGCAUUCUAAGGAAAGAAGAGGAUAAAACUACUAAAGAUCACAAAAGCUGAAUAGGAAUAGAAAAGAGUGUACCUUAGAACGAUGAUAGAUGAUAAACUUGAGAUCCUGAAAAAACCUUAACUUCGACAAAAAUUGAUUCAGUUUAACCACCCAAUCAACCGUUUUUCCACUAAGGGAAAAUCUUAAGUGUAUCUUGAUAUCAUCUGAGGCUUUGAUGGGAAUGAAAGGAUUGUCACAGUUGCAGCAUUCAAAAAACUCUAAAUUUGGAGUGUCAAUUUCAGCACCUGAAAAGUGACGACAAUCUCUAAAGGCCAGUCUCUUAAGCCUUUGGCUUGAAAUUCUGAUACUCCCCAACCCAUGGCAACUUCGAAACUCUAAGACUUCAAGGGCCUGGAUUUGAAAUGUCAGCGCCUGGUGCCAAAAGUUAGCUGUGUCACCUGCCCCACUGAGUUUCAACUCCUUCAGUGCAUUGCAAGUAGCCAGGUUAAUACUUCUGGGCCAGUUUCCCAAGGAUGGUGCAAACGAAAAAGUAUGAAGAUCAGACACAUCCAUCUGAACAUUAUCAAUCCCAUCACAGUACAGGAACUCAAAAUACUUCAAGUGAGAUAAACUUGAAACUGAGAGAAGUGUGUCCAUCCAUUUACAAAAUGACACUUUCACAUACUCUAUCACGGGACACCCAGAGAGAAUUUGGUGAAAUAAAAACUUGUCAGUGAAACAAGAAUGAGAUAAAGAAAGCUUCUGUAGAUGUGGAAGUUUGAUAUCCAAUCCACUCUCAAAUCUACAGCCACAUAAGCUUAAAACUUUUAGCGAGCUAGCAAGCAAAACCGAUUGCGGAACGCUAUAAAAAUAUCUAUCUGAGCCCGACAAACUAUCAAUACAAACAGCAAGUUCUGGAGCAGUCCUGUCUACUGCUAUACCAAUCCAUUGGUCCAUAUUAGGCGUCAACAACUCCAUAUCAGGGAAGUCAAUAUACAAUUGAAAUCUUUGUACGCAAAAAUCUAGUUGCAAGCGCCGACAGAUGGAAUUUCCAGCAAGAAUCAAGAAAUCAUGUUUUCGCCUUUUUAUAUGCACGUCACGAAGAAAUUGCUGUUGUUCUGUGACUGAAUUAUCAUAGAAAAAGUGGAAUACAAGAUAAGGAUAAGUGGACCAGGUGCGAUUCCAAGUCUUUGACAAUAUUGCAGUAGAGGUAACAUCUCUGGCACGCAGAUAAGAUAAAAUGUGAUGAAUCACGGAAUCAGGCAACCGUGAGAUGAAGUCCAAAGGGGCAAUCUCCAAACCAGAUCUCUCCUGUUCACGUUCCUCUAUUAUUAACCAACAAAAGCGUACAUUGACCAGUUAGAACUCAAAUUUCAUCAUUCACUCAUUUACAAACUAAUUCCAACUCAAAUAUGCUUGAUAAUCAAAACAGAACUAAUUAGAACUCAAACGUUCAUCAUUCAUUCAUAAUUGUACACUAGUAUGAACUUAAACGUGCUGGAUUAUCAAAGCUAUGCGCUAAUUUGAAACUCAAACAGUUCCUUAUUUAUUGACGAUCAUACACAAAUUCGAACUCCAACGUGCUGAUUCACUACAAUUAUAUGCUAAUCAAAAUCAAAAGUCUUCAUCCAUUCAUGAUUAUAAAGUAAUCAGACUAAAUGGUGUAGGAUUAUUACAAUUAAGCAAAUGAAGCAUUUACAGAAAGAAAGUUUACAAAGAGUACCUGAUUCCAUGAAGGGCAAGCCGGCAAAGACUUUGAAUCCCGAAGGCGAACCUGAUUAUAUCAGUAAAUGUUAUAAAGUUAGCGAGGAAAUCAAUUUAAAUUAAGCAGGCCAUAAGAAGAUUGCAAAUUCCAGCUGACUUUGUGAAUUAAAAGGUUGAGCAGAAAAUAAAGCAUGAUCAAAAGGAUAACCAAAAGUACCUGAAAAUAAUUAAUAGCCUCUGUAAUUUAGCCCCAAUUCCCGGAACAUGUAGACGACGGCAGCGAGAGAAUAGAGAUACUAGAUAGCGUGAAACUGUGAAUAUACGCAGUUAAGUAGUAGGCUACUAGUUUCUUUCAUUAGUUUUCCUUAACAAAAUAUUUUUGGCUCUGUUUGGAUUUACUAUUUUGGGAAUAUUUUUGAAAUAUUUUACUACAACAGUGUAUAUAAAAAAUUGUUAUGAUAAAUUUUUUUUGUAAUGUUUUCGAGGGAGUUUUGAAAUAUAUUCUAAGGUACCUUUUAAAAUUAAAAUAUUUUUAAGGUGUCUUUUAAAAAUUAAUACUAUCACUCACAAUCACCAACACCACCUCCACCCACCAUUGCCACUACCCACUCCUUCCUCCUUUCUCCUUUCUCUUCUCUUUCCCUCUUCCCCCUUCCCUCCCUCCCUCAAUCUAGCCGUGGCCAAAGGCUGCGAUCUGGUCGCAGCCCGAAACCUAUGUUUUUCCGAACCGAACCAGGGUAUCGAUUCGGUCAAACUCAGGGGUCAGGGAUCAGUGGAUUCAAUCGGGUUCGAUAGGGGUUGAACCGGAUGACGUCAUAAAUAAAAAUUAUUUAAAAAUUAAAAUAUUAUAUGUAAAAUACGUAAUAACAUGUUAAUAUUAAUAAAGGUAUAUUCAUAUAUAUUUAAUCUUUUAAAUAUAUUUAAUAAGAAAAUACAAACAAAUUAGAACAAUCAAGUAACAAAUUAUAUUAUUUAAUGCGCAUUAACAAGUUUAGAAUUAGAAUUAUGGACUUUAAUUGAAAAAUAAUACCAAACUUUAAGAAAAUAUUGAUAAAGUAUGAAAUAUUUGAGAUAUAUUAAUAAUUUUUAACAAUCUAGGGGUCAAAACAUAAUAUUGAAAAAGUUUUAAUUUUUUUUUAAAUGCUAAUUGAACCGGAAAAUCCGGUUUCUUUCCUGUCAAACCCGAUUUUUUACCGGAUUUGACCGGGUUUUUACUUACCUGGUUUUUAAGCAUAACUCGGACCGGACACUUGGCCGGUUCCCAGUUCGAUCUGUCGAACCGACCAGUCCGGUCCGAGUUUUAAAACACAGGCACUCGCAACCAGACGCCUUAAUCUGGUCUCGAGAAAUUGAGGGAGGAAGAAAUGGGAGGGGGGUGCCGGGAAAGGAGAGGGGAAAAGGAAGUGGGAAGGGGGAAGGGGAGGAGGAAGGGGGAAGGGGAGAAGGAAGGGGGGGGAGAGGAAUAGGGAUAGUGGUGGUGGGCAGGGAUGGUGGCGAUGGUAGGUAGUGGUGAUGGGUGGAAAAUGUUAUAUAAUUUAUUUUUUAAAAUUUUGUGUGUAUAUUUGUGAGUUAUUUUUGAUAUAUUAUAUGGAUGAAAUGUUUUUGAAUUAUUUUUAUUUGUAUAUUAUUCUGGCAUUAUAUUUAAUAACCUCUUUUGAAAAAUAGAUUUUUGGAUUUUUAGUAGAAAAGAUAUACUAUAUUAAUUUGAUGUAUGUGAGAUAAAAAUAAGUAUUUGAAAAAUAUGAUCAUGAAAAAUAUUAAAAAAAAAUUCUGCAGAAAAACUUCAAGGAAUUUCUGUAAAAAAAGAAAUCCAAAAUCCUGUUUUUAGAAAAGGAAAAAGUGAAAGGAGUUGUACGAAAGCCAAAAGGCAAUUAAAUUGAUAACUUCUUUGCAUAUGAAUAUAUGAUGUUAAGUAUUUUAUUUACUCACAAAAACUAUAAUUUUGGUUUAAGAGAAGCAAUACCUAAUAAAAUUGUAAAAUGAGAACGGUAACAAAGAUUAUUAACUUUGGAAGUAUUGUAUACUAAAGAACUUUAUAUAUAAAGUGGGAAUGGUACUUCAAUUGUUUGCUGGUCUUUCGUCCUUCUCAUGUGGAACUCAUGUGGCCCGUGUGCUGGAAAUGACAUCUUAAGUGGGUUGCUGUCUUUUGCUCCUUCGUCAUCAUCAUGCCCCUGCACAGCCCAUCUUCUAAUCCCUCUGCUAUACAAAAUAAGCAGCCGCCUUGCCCGUUCUUUCUAUUGGUCGGUGGAUUCACCUCUCACCCUACACAAUCUGCAAUUCAUUAAAUGUUGGCGUCUCCAUGCAAGAUUUGCACAUCUUUAAACAUGCUUUCCCGGGUUUUCAUGCACCGAAUAGAAGACAGGUAAUCAUGUAAAUUUCUUUCCCUUGCAUUUCAGCUUGCAUUUCUUGUUUUGCUUCAUUUUAUGUAUUGCUUCCGCUUCUUCUUCCUCGAGCUUUUCCUUCCCUCCGUUUCGUUGUGCGUCUUUCUUCAUUCACUGUUAUUAGUGUUUUCUGUUGUCUGCUAUUACAUCUAUUGUAAAUGAUGCUCUAUUUUCCCUCCCCCUGUUCUUGUAAUAGUAUUUAUAUUUUUUCCCCUUCCAUUAUUUUGUUUUUCAUAUUCUUCUACUUCCCAUGCUUACUGCUUUUUUUUUACCUGUCACUAUUAUUAAUAUUCCUUUUGCAUUUUUUUUGUUUUAUGAUUCUCUUUGUUCUAUCAUUUUUUAUUCUCAUUGCAUUGUUGUCUCUUAUUGUUUGAAGUUCGAUUUUUCACUUUCCUUUUGCCCAAUUUUUUUGUUGCCUCUAUUUUUUUUUUCAGCUUUCCUGCUGAAACAUUGCUUUUGCUUUUGUUAGAGACUCUUUUCUCCUAUUUUUUCUCCCGCGCUUGUAUGCUUCGUGUGCUUUCUUGGUCAUAUUCAUUUAUUUACUGCUACUGUUUCUACGCUUUGCAGUUUAGUGGCAUUUAUUAAUAUUCUUUAUUUUUUGUAUUUGUUCCUAUCUGACAAUGACAUUUUCCUAUUAUCCAUUUUUGCAUGGCCCUCUUAAUUUCCUCCAAGUUUUGGCUGUUUUGCUGACUACGAGCUGCUGCUUAUUUUUCUUGCUGCGGCAAAAGGUACUUGCUUUUUUUUUUAUUGGAAUUGAAGCAUUAUCUUUAAUAGUUCAUUCAUCUUUGUUCUUCUCCUUUGAUCAAACGCUUAUUAGCUACUUUUUUUCUCCAUUUUUCGUAUAUUAUCCUAAAAAGUUUGUUUUCUCAUGCUUAAACACUUAAAAAAAUAACCAUAUUUCUUGUUUUAUUUCUCACCUUCAUAGUUCGUACACUUAACUUUUUUGUGUAUGAAAUACAGAACAAAGAAUGUUGUGCCAGAAAGUAGCAUCAUCAAUGAAACCGAAUUUCAUUCAAGACAUCUCUGAUGGGCUAUCAUUCUAUGACAUCUUUACUCAGCAAAACCAGCAUAAUUUUGUGAGCUCUGGCUAUAUCCUGUUUUAUUUUAUCAUUCAUUAUUUUCUUUCCCACUAAUAAUUUUUUUUUGUCGAUGAACAACAGAAAGUGCCCAAGUUUGUAUCCUUCUUCAUGCAUGGUGACAAAACUACUCUGAUCACGCUGAGAACUGGAAACAAAACAGUCACUCUUGGAAUGCGUCAGAGAUAGUUUACAAAUAAUUGGAACACAUUUAAGUUUGAGCAUCAACUACAAUUUGACGACGCUUUAGUAUUUAUCCCUAAAUCAAAGUCCUGCUAUACUGUCCUAAUCUUCAACAAACAUGGAGUCGAAAAACUAUUCCCUUGGUACAAUAAGUUCUACAUCUUCUCUGAUGCACCAACCGGUAGAACUUAGACCUUUCUUUUAAAUUUAUUCUGCAAGAAACGUUGUUCUUCUUAUAUGUUCAAUAAACAUAUGAAUGCCAGAUUUUAUUGUCCAUUCUUUUUCCAUAUCAAUUUAACUUAGCAAUUUAUCGACAACAUGCUGCAGAAUUAUUUUCAACCAUUCAGGACCGUGCUUGAUUUUUUGUAAAAAGCUUUGAAUAAAUCUACAACUUCAACUUUCAACGCUUCAUUAUUCUCAUAUAAUAUGCAAUUUUACGAUGCUUCUUGAAAAAACCAAAAUAACAUCUUAUCUUUAAACUUAUACCUUUUAUUAAGAACGGUAUACUUAAUAUGACUAUGAUACAAUUCAAAUAUAUUGUAGCAUAAACCAAGAAAGCUAUCAAACAAAAAAAUGCGUUAAUAAAAAAAUUAAGUUAAGCUGUUCCAAUAGAUGCUCACAAUUACAUGACACACACCAAAACAUGAAAUACAUUAAAAUCAACAAGUGUGUGUAUAAAAAGUCCUUCCAUACAUGUUGACCAAAUUGGUAACUGAUAGUGUGAGGAGUCGAGCCUAUGUAAUUUCGUGACUUUGAAACGUGACCUUUAUUACUGUGACAUCAUAUCCAAACUCAAAAAAGUUUUCACCCGUAAAAAGCCAAAUAAUAUGUAAAUAUAUGAAUUGUAAUAAAUGUUCUUUAAUUCUAUUAAUUACACCAAAUUAUUUUGCCUACAAAUGUUCUCCAUAUCGUUAGUUUAUAAUUGCAAUCCGCCGGUUACCAAAUUUCAUUGUGGGCAUUACAUAAAUUCUUCACCGUGCGCAAGCACGGUAUAUUUCUGCUAGUAGUCUAAAGUACUCGUUUGAUAGACUAGAGCAAUUUGGCGCUUCAUUGGCACGCUUCAAAUGCACACUAUCAAUCAGGUAUCCGGACGCUUGGGCCUUGGCUAUGCAACUUGAACAAUCAUCACAUGUAGAACUGACUUUAUUCUAGUAUUUUAUAGGAAAAUAUGUACUCAAUUAGCUUGAAGUGAAUUAAAUCAUGAUUGUCAGCAUUUUAAACUUUUGAUUGUGAAGGCCUUAAUUGUUUGACAACUCCCAUGAUUAUUUUGGCUAAACUACUCAAGUUGCCUCGUUAUACUUAAAAAAAAAAAUCUCAAUUCAAUCUUUAACACUAAGAAGUGACUUGAUUUAAUCCCUUGGAAAUAACUCAUGUCAUUUUUAUGUUGAAUUAGUAGUCAAAAGAUUUAAUCGUGCAUUUCCAAUAUAACGGGGUCUAUGUGUUAUAUCAACGAUACAUUGUUGAUGAUCAGACUAUAUGAAUUCCAAUUCUUUCAGCAAAGGUGAUAUCCAAACAACAAAAUUUCUUCAAAGACAUCUAAUAAAGAGAUUACCAAGUACCCAUGUUAUUGUUUAAGCAAUAUUAGUAAGUAUGUUUUCAUAAACAGCAUUUUAUUUGGGUUGAAAUCAAAUCAACACCUAUAUGCAUUUCAUAAACAGCGUUCUAUGACGGAUGAAUGAGGAUGUAGGGAGAGGGACAAAACGGAGGAGGUGGAGGUGGGCUGAGUUUCUUCUGUUGAGAAGAGUCAAGUCUCUUGAAAACUGAAGCAGAUACCGCUUGAGGUGAAAAAGGACUGAGGGUGAAGGAGAAGAGGAAGAAGAGGAUGAUGAAGAUGUUAACGGAAGGAAAUGGGCUUGGAGCUUUUCGAGCCAUGUAAAUGUUUGUGGUUUUUGCCGCAGCAGACAACAAACAAAGAAGAGAAGUGAUGAGAAGUUUGGGAGAUGAGCAUGGGUUUAUAUACACGUACGUCGAUCUGCAUGCAGGGCAUCAGUAGCGUGUUACUAUUAUUAUUAAAGGUACGUCCAUAUCAAUUUAAUUUCCAUAGAAAAGUAAAAGUUUGGUACCUUAUCAUACAAAAAAGAGAGUACAUACACAAUUAAUCACCAGUCCUUCAAAUCAAGAUAUGUUCAAUGUGUAAGUGAGAAUGUACAACUGAUAUUCCUAGUCUACGAGUGUCGUUACCGUAUGAAAGAAACGGAAAAAACAAGAAGAUUUUAACAACCGCCCUCCCCCAGCAGAUCGACUGGUUUCCGUAGUCCCCUUAUAAGGGGCAGGUCACUGGUUCGACCCCGGGGAGCUAACACGCUGUGAACCUUGGGACGGGGCUCUCACAGCCGCAGGGGAUUAAUCGGGCCCAAUGGUUCCAGACACCCUUUUGUGUCGGAAAAAAAAAAAAAGACAUGAAGCAUUAUGCAUCCAUGCCAUUGGAUAUAUAGUAGGCUUGAUGUUAUACAAUGCAAAUUUUCUUAAAAAAGAAAAACUUUAAAUCAAAAUAAAUCUUAACCUAUCAAUUAUUGAUUUAAGCUAUCAAAACAUUGGCAUGUAACAUGCAAAUAAUCGUUGCUUAUAGGGCAUCAUUCCUUUCCGUCUCACACGCAGAUUAGUCCAUUGGUGGUUCUUUCUAUCUUUUUUUUUUUUUGAAUAUUUGGUUCAUAGAGGUUCCAACUUUUACAAGGAGAAGGAAAAAUAGGAGAGUUUAAGGGUCAAGACCUUACGGUCAGUCACCUAAAAGCAUCCGUGCCAAUUGAGUUGAGUUUUGGAAACAAAAUCUUGGCCUUUCCACUAUAGUAGGAUAUAACUAAAUGCCCGGAUUAACUCAGUUUCCAUAAAUUAAAAAAAAAAAAGAGUAAGAAAUUGGUACCUCUGAUCAAUUCCAAGGGUAGAUAUAUAAUAUAAUUAUUAGUCCUUCAAAUGUAGACGAGUGUAAGUAGACUUAAAAGGAGUCCAUGAUAUUGAUAGUUGAUCUUUUGGUCACAAUAAUUAUUUCGAGAUGUUUGAUUCUUCGUAAUGUGGAAUAACUUUCCUCCAGACAUUCUAAAGAAACAUGAUGGACCAAGUUGCUGUUUGUGAGGUCGGAUCGUCUCUUGCGCAAGGAUUUUUGGGUAAUGAAUUGAUCUUUCAAGAAAAACACUAUUUACAAAAACAAAUGUUUGUAUGUUUUUCUUCAUUUAUGUUCAAUUCAAUUCUCUAUAAUAUAUAUUAGUAGUAUUUGUUUAGAGGGAGCACCUUCAUGCAUGGACUAACUUGGAUCUCUAGAGGUUCUCCUUCACAUUUGACGUGCAGAUUACGCCAUUAGGCAAUUCGGGCGACUGAGCGGUCAACACAAGGCAACAUCAAAACAGCUACGCAUUUGGCCCACCAGUAGUACUAGGCAACCAAUCAGACUACUCCGGUCUUGAUUUAUUUUCUUCAGUUUCCAUUUCAUCUACUUCUCCACUACUGAUCCUCUAGAGAAAGCUCAGUCGUUAAAUUUUCUAGUCUGUUCAAAUGUCUAACAUCAAAAUUUAAAUUUAAAUCAAAACAUUAAAGUGAGAACAAAGUGUCAUCUUGGGAAUAAAAAGGUACUUGGAUUUCUUCUUUGCAAUAAAAUGGAUAACUUCUUUGCAUAUGAAUAUAUGAUGUUAAGUACUUUAUUUACUCAUAAAACCCAUAUUUUGGUUUAAGAAAAGCAAUACCUAAUGAAAUGGUAAAAUGAGAACGGUAACAAAGAUUAUAGUCUAAAGUACUCGUUUGAUAGGCUAGUGCAAUUUGGCGUUUCACUUGUACGCUUCAAAUGCACAUUAUCAAUCAGGUAUCCGGACGCUUGGCUAUGCAACUUGAACAAUCAUUACAUGUAGAACUGACUUUAUUCUAGUAUUCUAUAGGAAAAUAUGUACUCAAUUAGCCUGAAGUGAAUUAAAUCAUGAUUGUCAGCAUUUUAAACUUUUGAUUGUGAAGGCCUUAAUUGUUUGACAACUCCCAUGAUUAUUUUGGCUAAACCAGUCAAGUUGCCUCGUUAUACUUCCAAAAAAAAAAAAAUCUCAAUUCAAUCUUUAACACUAAGAAGUGACUUGAUUUAAUCCGGCCCUUGGAAAUAACUCAAGUAAUUUUUACGUUGAAUUAGCAGCCAAAAGAUUUAAUCGUGUAUUUCCAAUAUAACGGGGUCUAUGUGUUAUAUUAACGAUAUAUUGUUGUCAUCAUCAGAUCAGACUAUAUGUUAAGUUUUUGAAUUCCAACUCUUUCAGCAAAGGUGAUAUCCAAGCAACAAAAUUUCUUCAAAGACGUCUAAUAAAGAGAUUACCAAGUACCCAUGUUAUUGUUUAAGCACUAUUAGAAGUACGUUUUCAUAAACAGCAUUUUAUUUGGGUUGAAAUCAAAUCAACACCUAUAUGCUUUUUAACAUUUAUUUGGGCUGAAACCAAACAUCUUGUUGGCAAGGUCGUAAGUAACCCGAAACCCCUGCUGCUGCGUGUUGCCGAUUAUUGAGACACUUUGAGAAGUGGUCUUAAAAGCCAAACAGAACGUGCCGUCGGAAUCAGCACGAAACAGGUAAUUUUGAGGUUUCAGCGGCAGCGUCUUGCCCCCGGAGAACUGAAACGACAUCAUUGGGAAGCCAUCUCUGGUGGGCGUAGAGGAUAGAUCAUAACAAGUGUCGAGAUCACCGAUUCCAGCGGCGGGAGGCAAGUUUUUAGCGUACUUAACAAAGGUGUCGCGGACCGAGUUAUAUACCUGAGCUGGCAACGCCGUGAUGGUGGUACCCGAGUCGACGAUGAUUCCCCCACGCCCAUCUUCGCCUAUUUGAUAAUCCGAUGCAGGAAUGGGCACUUGUUCUCCAUUAAUAGUGAUCCCCGUGAGUUCCACGUAGUAAUAAAUCUCAGAUUUUGGGUUCAUAAUCAAGGGAACGAGGAUUGAGUCACCGGGUGGAACUGAGUUAAACUCGAGAGUCGAGGACGAGCUGGAGUCCAAAUCCACGAGGCAGUAGGAGAAAGACUUCGCCUGAAUUUGAGAAGGAAAGCCUACUGCAGUGCCCCCAAGGCCAAGUAUGCCAGCUGCCUUGCCAAAUCGGCCUUGAUUCUCAAGCCCGCACCCGAUAGCCACUUUCUGAACUGAACCCGAACUCCCGAACGACACCGUUUCAGUGGCAAAUUCUCCAAUACUGACGGAAUUAUCCCCGUACAACGCUCUGUAGAUGCAAGUGUUGUUUUGGCCGCACUUGUAAUCCGGGCUCAAGGCGGUGCACUGCUGCGAUGUGCAGGAUAAAGGGCUGUAAGAUGAGGAUCCGGAUGGGUCGAAGAUCGGGUCGGAUUGGUUAAAGCAUGGAUCGCAGGGCAGGCAUUGGAGCCAGUUGAUUUGGCUACCCGUAUCCGCUAUCAGGUAGUAUUCUUUCACGGGUUGGCCCACUCCGACGCGAGCUGCGUACGCUCCGCCAGAUGGAGUCAGGGGAGCUUCGAGGUCCUCCGGUUGGACUUGGACGUCGGGUUUGAUGCCAUGAGGGCGGUUGAAGGCGGAGAGAGCCCGCUCAAUGUUGGAGUUGAUGACCUCGGCUCGGGCCCGGUCACUUGCGAGCCGGGAGAGAACGAGGUCGGAGUAGCUGUCGUAUGGCGGCUUUAUGACGGAUGAAUGCGGAUGCAGGGAGAGGGACAAAACGGAGGAGGUGGAGGUGGGCUGAGUUUCUUCUGUUGACAAGAGUCGAAGUCUCUUGAAAACUGAAGCAGACACCACUUGAGGUGAAAAAGGACUGAGGGUGAAGGAGAAGAAGAAGAAGAGGAUGAUGAAGAUGUUAAUGGACGGAAAUGGGCUUGGAGCUUUUCGAGCCAUGUAAAUGUUUGUGGUUUUUGUCGCAGCAGACAACAAACAAAGAAGACAAGUGAUGAGAAGUUUGGGAGAUGAGCUUGGGUUUAUAUACACUUACACGUACGUCGAUCUGCAUGCAGGGCAUCAGUAGCGUAUUACUAUUAUUUAUUGAAGGUACAUAUCACAAAGAUCCAUAUCAAUUUAAAUUCCAUAGAAAAGUAAAAGUUUGGUACCAUAACAUACAAGAAAGAGAGUACAUACACAAUUAAUCACCAGUCCUUCAAAUCAAGAUAUGUUCAAUGUGUAAGUGAGAAUGUACAACUGAGAAUGUUCAAUUUUCGACUACGAGCGUCGUUACCGUAUGAAAGAAAGGGAAAGAACGAGAAGAUUUUAACAACCUUUAAUAGGCUUCUUAGUGGAAAUUUUGAGUCCUGGGAGGGAAGACUUUUUAGAGUCUUGCAGGCGUCCGCCACAUCGCGAUAGUUGGUCUUUCUGAUACAGGCAUAUAAAAAAGGAAUCAAAUUGGAAUUUACGGUGGAAACAAGGUAGAUGCGCCAACGGCAGCUGGUGUUUCAUUUUCAUGAUACAGACUGGGGAAAUUUUGGAGCAUCCAUGCCAUUGGAUAUAUAGCUAUGUUUUCAGAACCGGACCGGAUAGCGACUCGGCCAAGGUCAGGGGUCAGGGGUCAAUGGGUUCGACCGGGGGUCGAUAGGGGUCGAACCGGAUGACGUCAUAAAUAAAAAUUAUUUAAAAAUUAAAAUAUUAUAUAUAUCAUAUCUAAUAAUAUAUUGAUAUUAAUAAAGGUAUAUUCAUACAUAUUUGAUGUUUCAAAAAGAUUUAACAAGAAAAUACAAAGAAAUUAGAACAAUCAAGUAGCAAUUUAUAUUAUUUAAUAAAUAUUAACAAGUUUAGAAUUAAAAUUAUGAAUUUAAUUGAAAAAUAACAUCAAAUUGUAGGACAAUAUUUAUAAAGUAUCAAAUAUUUGAGGUAUACGAAUAAGUUUUAACAAUUUAGGGGGCCAAAACAUAAUAUUAUAAAGUUUGAAUUUUUUUUUUAAAAAAUUACUGUUGAACCGGAAAAACCGGGUUUUUCCCGGUCAAACCCGGUCAAACCCGGAUUUUGACCGGCUUUGACCGAGUUUUAAAAUUUCCGGUUUUCUAAGUUGACUCGGACCGGCUACCUGGCCGGUUCCCGGUUCGACCGGUUCGACCGGCCGGUCCGGUCCGAGUUUGAAAACAGAGAUAUAUAGUAGGCUUGAUGUUAUACAAUGCAAAUUUUAAAAAAAAAAAAAAACUUUAAAUCAAAAUAAAUCUUGACCUAUCAAUUAUUGAUUUAAGCUAUCCAAACACUGGCAUGUAACAUGCAAAUAAUCGUUACUCAUAGGGCAUCAUUCCUUUCCAUCUCACACGCAGAUUUGGCCAUUCAUAAAUUCCUAUAUUGAUCAUCUGCUUGACCUUUGGAGAGGGUCUUCAAAAAAAAAAAAAAAAGGACCUUUUGAGAGGAAAGACUUGAAGGAGAGAAGACUUCGAUAGUUGCCGAGUCGGUCUUCUCGAACGUGGUUCGCGAUGUUUGAUUCUUUGUAGUGAGGAAUAUAUUUUUCUCCAGACAAAGGCUGUCAAGGUAGAGGGGCCAGCAAUGACUGUAAUUUCGUUUGCAUCAUAUACGGCUUGACUGCUGCGGUAAAUCGCCUAGUUUAUAAACACAAUCAUGGUUAACAAGAAAAAAAAAAAUCCAACAGAAAAUCGCAAUCUACCAACAAAAGGAAGAAACUUAGAGAUAUUACUUUACUGCAUCUAUCUUUUUCUUCUUCUUCUUCUUCUUUUUUCUCUUUUUUAUUACGGUAGGAAAGUUUGGUCUUCCUUGGUUCUUUCUUUCAUUUUUUUUUUUUUUGAAUAUUUGGUUCAUAGAGGUUCCAACUUUUACAAGGAGAAGGAAAAAUAAGAGAGUUUUAAGGGUCAAGACCUUACGGUCGGUCACCUAAAAGCAUCGGUGCCAAUUGAGCUGAGUUUUGGAAACAAAAUUUUGGCCUUUCCAUUAUAGUGGGAUAUAACUAAAUGCCCGGAUUAACUCAAUUUCCAUAAAUUAAAAAAAAUUAAGAAAUUGGUACCUUUGAAUUCCAAGGGUAGAUAUAUAAUUACUAGUACUCCUUCAAAUGUAGACGAGUGUAAAUAGACUUAAAAGGAGUCCAUGAUAUUGAUAGUCCAUGAUAUAAUUACUAGUUGGUCUUUUGGUCACAAUAAUUAUUUCGAUAUGUUUGAUUCUUCGUAAUGCGGAAUAACUUUCCUCCAGACAUUCUAAAGACACGUACUGAAACUGAUGGACCAAGUUGCUGUUUGUGAGGUGCCAUUAAUCCGGGUGGGAACGUCUCUUGUGCAAGGAUUUCUGGACUAGACCUUCCAACUUGCGCUUGCCGCAAAGAUGUUUUGGGUAAUGAAUUGAUUUUUCAAGAAAAACACCCUGCAAACGUAAUUAAUUGCACUUUCAUUUGCCAAAAUUUUUUUAGUCCCUGCAAACGGGAUGCUGGUGAGUUUGGAUUGUAAAUUAUUUGAAAUAAUUUUAUGAAAAAAGUAUUGUAGCACUUUUUUGAUAUGAUGCAUGUGAUUGAAAGAUGUAUUAAUGAUGCAAAUCAUUCAGUAUGUGUAAAUAAGUUAUAAAUAAAGUGUAAUUAUUUACAAUCCAAACACACUCCUUAAUCUUAAUUUAUAGGAGUACUAUUUUUUAUGUUUUUUCUUCAUUUAUGUUCACUAAAGAAAAGAAAAAUGAAAUACAAUGACCAAAAUCAAUUCAAUUCUCUAUAACCUAUAUUAGUACCUUUUUUUUUUUUUUGGAGGGAGCACCUUCAUGCAUGGACUAACUUGGAUCUCUAGAGGUUCUCCUUCACAUUUGACGUGCAUAGUGCGCCAUUAGGCAUUGGGGCGACUAAGCGGUCAACACAAGGCAACAUCAAAACAGUUGCGCAUUUGGCCCACCAGUAGUACUAGGCAACCAAUCAGACUACUCCGGUCUUGAUUUAUUUUCUUCAGUUUCCAUUUCAUCUACUUCUCCACUGAACCUCUAGAGAAAGCUCAGUCGUUAAAUUUUCUUGUCUGUUCAAAUGUCUAACAUCAAAAUUAGAAUUUUAAUCAAAACCUUAAAGUGGAAACAAAGUGUCAUCUUUUGUUUUUCAAAAAAACAAAAUAAACUAAUGACAGUAAAUACAUCAAAACGUAAAACAGAUCUAAUAGAUGGGAGAAAUUUCCUCCUAAUUUGAAACUCCAAAAAUGUGAUUCUCGACUAGAUUAAUGCAAGUCUUAUAAAUUGAUUACAUUUUCAAUCAAUUCAAUUUCAGGGUAAACAUGCAAUAUGCCCAAGUAUAGCCCUGCCCUGGUUUUCACGGUACAACCACUUCUUCAUUCAAAGAAGUCAUUAGCAUACUAUAGAAAGAAAAGGACCCUAAAGAAUAAGAAUCACAAAAGUUAGUUUGGUUAAGAAAACCAAAUACUUUAGAGCAAAGGUAGACGAUGAGAUCCUCAAAAUAUCAUAACUAUGAAAACAUUUAGCAUAUAUUUAUAUAUAUGAAGAACAACAUUUAUUUAGGUUGAAAUCAACUGUAUAUAUUCUAGUAGUAGCACUGGAGGGAGGGAGUGCUCUAACAUUGAUUCGGACUAAAACCAAUCAUCUUAUUGGCAAGGUCGUAAUUAACCCUCAUCCCUUGCUGCUGUAUAUUCCCAAGUAUUGAGACAGAUUGCGUAGUGACAGUAAAAGCCAAACAAUUCUUGGCACUAUCACCAACACGAAACCAGUAAUUUGCAGGCCUCAACGGCAGCGUUUUGCCCCCAGAGAAAUCAAGCGACAUCGUUGGAUAGCCAUCUGUGGGGUUUGACGAUAGAUCAUAGCAAGUGUCAAAUUUAACUAGACCACCAUCGUAGCCGCUCGUGCGAGUCAAGGCUUUAGCGUACUUAACAAACGUAUCACGGACCGAGUUAUAAACCUCAUCUGGCAACGCCGUUAUGGUGGUGCCCGAGUCAACUACAAUUCCCCCACUUCCAUCUUGGCCUAUUUGGUAAGCUGAUGCGGGAAUGGGUACUUGUUCUCCAUUAAUGGUAAUCCCCGUGAGCUCCACGUAGUAAAAAACCUCAAUUCUUCGAUUGAUUAUCAAGGGAACGAGGACUGAGUCACCAGGUGGAGCUGAGUUAAACUCAAGAGUCGAGGACUUGCCCGAGUCUCUAUCCACGAGACAGUAGGAGAAGGACGUCGCUUGAAUUUGAGAAGGAAAGCUUACAGGAGUGCCCCCAAGACCAAGUAUCCCAGACGCCCCCCCGCGUUGAUUAUGGCCGCACCCGAUGGCUACUUUAUCAACCGAACCUGAACUUCCAAACGACACCGUUUCAGUGGCGAAUUCUCCCUCAACAGUGGAUCUAUCUCCGUAGCUCGUUAUAAACAUACACGGGUCAGCUUGGCAAUUUCGGUUUUCGCCCAGUGAGGCACAUUCCUGGGAUGCACAGGAUAAAAGACUGUAAGAUGAAGACCCAGAUGGGUCAAAGACCGAACCGGACACGCUAGAACAUCCAUCGCAGGGUAGGCAUUGGAGCCAGUUGAUUUCGCUACCCGUAUCCGCUAGCAGGAAGAAAUCUUUUACUGGUUGGCCCACUCCGACCUGAGCUAAGUACGCUCCUCCAAAUGGAGUCAGCGUAGUUUCCAGGUCCUCCGGUUGGACUUGGGCGUCCGGUUUAAUAUCAUGAGGGCGGUUGAAGGUGGAGAGAGCCCGCUCAAUUUUGGAGUUGAUGAGCUUGGCUCGGGCUCGGUCACUCGCCAGUCGGGAGCGUACGAGGUCGGAGUAGUUGUUGUUUGGCGGCUUUAUGAUGGAUGAAUAAGGAUGUAGGGAGAGGGACAAAACGGAGGAGGUCGAGGUGGGGUGAGCUUUUUCUGUUGAGAAGAGCUGAAGUCUUUUGAAAACUGAAGCAGAGACUGCUUGAGGUGAAAAUGGACUGAGGGUGAAGGAGAAGAAGAAGAAGAGGAUGAUGAGGAUGUUAAUGGAAGGAAAUGGCCUUUGAGCUUCUCGAGCCAUGUUUGUGGUUUUGGAGCAGAAGAGAAGACAGGAGAGAAGGGAUGAGAAGUUUGGAAGGAGCAAGGGUUUAUAUAUAUAGACGUCGAUCUGCAUGGAGGGCAUGUGGUUAAUUAAGACAUGGCUGCACUCACAUUUUAUUUAUUUAUUUAGUUUUUUGUUUAGGAUAAGUUCAAAUUCAAUUACGGUAGAAAACGUUGAUCAGACACAACCACACGCUUCUUUCCUGAAGAAAUGAAGAGAAAAUUAAACUAGAAGUUGCUUAAAGAUAGCACGUAUAGUAAUUCAGAUGCUGCGUAUAUAUGGAGAAGCAGUUUGAAAAAUGGCCCCUCACAAAUAUCACCGUAUUAACCAUCCUCUCAACUUUUUAAGAGCGAAGACUUAGAGGAGCGUCCACGACAGUUGGUCCUUCUGGUGGGCAUUGGUCACAAUAAUUAUCUAGAAAUGUUUUAUUCUUUGCAAUGUGGAAUAACUUUCCUCUACACAUGCAUAUUAAUGGCAUUGAAUAUGAUGGCAAAUUGGAAUUGCAGUAGCUAGGGAACAAGAAGGCUUUCAACAACUCAGUUUGAUCUUUCAUGAUGAGCAAAUAUAUAUUGGCUCGACUGCAGAGUUAUGCCUAAUUAGAAAUAAUUAGGGUUAAUAUAAAAAAUAAAAAAAACCCACAGAAAAUUGCUAUCUGCCAAUCACACUGAUUACUGUGACUUCCUUGUUUCCGAUAGUCAUGCCUUCGUUAUCUAUAGUUAAAUGGUGGGUGCUAUGGAUUAAUAGAUUCAAGUAACAAUUUUUCGUAAAGAAAUGUUUAAGGGUUUACGUAAAAAAAAAAAAUCAAGGGAGUGGAGUGUAAAAUUCAGGUAAUCGUUUUUCAUGCAGAAACUCUCUUUCGGUAUCGCAUGCAUUGCAGAUUAGGUCAUUAGGCGAUUAAUUAGCGGUCAACGGUACGCAACAUUCAAAACAGUUGCACAUUUUUAUUUAGUCCACUCGUCAACCAAUCAGACCAUUUCGUCAUUCGUUAAUGCUCUUUCUAGAUCAAAAAUGUCUAACAGGAUUGAAUUAAACCUAAAAUGAAAAGAAAUUGUACCUUUUGCUUUUUUUUUUUUUUUAAUUUGGGGAUAAUUUCAUUCAAUGAAAAUUGCACUAAUAGCAGUAAAUAACAUCAAAAUGUGCAAGGAAUGCAACAGACAGAAGGAAUUUUCUUCUGUUUCGAAGAAUUAAGAGAAUCCAAAUUGUUAUUCUCAAGUAGACUAAUGCAAGUUUCAUAAACUAAUUAGUUAGCAUUUUGAAUUAUUAGCUCUAUUUGCUAGUAAAACAAAAAACAAAAAAGCACCUAGACCAAAGCAAUAGAAGAGAAAGAACAAAAGGUCAACUAGAAAAUUAUUAUCAAAUUAGGGUCUGUUUGGUUGGAAGUAAAAUGUUUUCCUUGGGAAAAUAUUUUUCGUGGAAGUAAUUUUCCAUGAAAAUCAUUUUCCUUUCAUCAUUUUCAGGUGUUUGGUUAGCUUAUUGAAAAUAUUUUCUUACUUCAUUUUUUUGGUGUUUGUUUAACUUUUGAAAUAUUUUCACUUUUAUCUCUAUCUUUAUUUUCUACACAUUAUAACUACAUACUUUUUCCCAUACAAAAUAAGAAAAUUUAUCUCAUUGUUUAACUUUAAAAAAUCUUGGAGAAAUGUAUAUAUGAAUAAAAAAUAUCUCCUUAAGCAAUAAACAAAUUGCUGGUCAUUUAGUGUCAAAUAUCAAUCACAUGCAAUGCUUAUUGUGACAUAUAUCUUGCACUCUCACUGCUGAAAGUUUCUCUAGAAAAAAAUGUCCUUAUUAUACAUAAUCAAUUACUAGCAUAGGAUGAGCAGGAUGAGGUUUUUUUUUUUUUUUUUUUUUGAAUAUACUAUGGGGAGGGUUGGGUGGUACGGGGGAGGGAGUGUAAGGAAGAGGUCUUGGGUUCGAGUCCUCCUGUUUACAUUAAAAAAAAAAGAACAUACUACAAGAUGUUUUCAGUAAGUUUGGAACAUACUACAGGCGGAAUGCAUGCAUUUCGGAAAACAAUUUCAGUAAGUUUGGAAGGGAAGUUGUUUUCCAUAAGAUGAAUGAAAAUAUUUUACAUAGGAAAAUGUUUUCAGUAACUUUUGUGCAACCAAACACGGGAAAUUGGGAAAAUAUUUUCCUGGAAAAUAUUUUCACCCGAAACAAACGGACCCUUAAAGUUGUAAAUUUCCGUUGAUAUUAUCAAAUAUUAUCAAGUUUCAUAAACUAACGUUGUGCGCUUCCGUUAUUUCUAUUGGCAGAUUAUAAUCAAAGUGGCGAUGGCAAAGACAAUAUCAAUCAGGCUGUCGAUCUAACGAUUUGUUUUAUGUGUUGAAUCAUUCUGCAAGUAAAGCCAACCGAGUCAAUGGCGACUAGUCAUCAAUUAGGCAACCAAAGAAGUUAACCUUCUUUGAUAUCCAUUAAUUAGAGCCUACAAAGACCAGGUCUUUUUUCUUGCCAAUAUUAAAUUUUUAAGGCCAAACGUCCAGCAGCAAAACAAAGCAUUAAAGAUGGAAAAGAAAAAGAAAAAUUUCCCUUUUAUAGUUUUAUUAGGUCAAGCCAGGAGUAGGACUAGAAGAAGGAAAACGUUUCUUCCAUUACUUCUUCACAACUUAACUCCGAUAUGUGUAACUUGAUUGUCGGAGACAAAUCAAGGGACUUAACCCUGAUUCUCCUACUCCUGGUUGCAGGUCAUCAGAUCGGAAGACCUUACGAGUUCCAGCUCGAUCGUGCAACGAGCAAUUGAUAAAUCAUUACACCGAAAACGGAGAGGAUUUUUCUUGUAGAUAUACCUUAAUUGACAUGAUCGAAUAUGUGUGGUUCGUUUUGUUAGAAAAGCUAGCUCAAGGAUUAAUCCAGCAAAAACAAUGAAAGACUUCACAUAACUUGCUUUUAAAUUAAAAUGAAGACAGCAGGGCUGAAACCAAUCAGCCUUGUUAUGUUCCACACAAGUAAUAUUUUGCAUGCAUUUAUGUGGAUAAUGAAACGGGCAAUCGAAUGGUUGUACAAUUCCCUCCUUGCCAAGUAAUUGAUUUCCUGACAGUUCCCCCCAAACGAUGUGGACUAUAUAUCAACAAAGUACAUCAUAUAUACCAUAUUUACUAAUCGAAAGAGGGAUUAUUUUUCCUAUAUAAUGUAUAUCUGAUCACAUAUAGAUGCAUGACUCAUAUAGACUUAUUCUUGAUUGAUUACUUUAGCUAAUUAUGGAUUCUAAUGUUAGAUAAUCAGUUUCUUUGAUAUUUUUAUUUAUUUUAAUUAUACAAUUUUUUUAUUUUUAAUAUUAAAAAAACUGAAAUUCAUAAUCAAUCAAAAAAUUAAAUUUUACUAAUUCUCAUUAUUCUCUAUAGUCAUUUUUUUUAAUCUUAAUCUGAUUUUGUAAAAUCUGAAACCAAGCAGUAUUAGUAUGAAUUUACAAAUAUUUUGGUUCCAAUUUCUUCGGAUGUCCUCUCGAAGGAAGGGACAAUAUUUUGGUUCAAAUCAAAUAUACUCUCCUACUAGCAAUAUGAGAGAGUGGUCUUAACAUUGAUUCGGACUAAAACCAAUCACCUUAUUGGUAAGGUCGUAAGUGACCCGCAUCCCUUGCUGCUGUAUGUUCCCAAUUAUUGACACCCGUUUCGA
rnacentral:lncRNA from 1 species